CUAGAUCGUGGUACUUUAUUAUGAUAAAGGGUAUUCUCUCUGAUCCAAAAUAAGUAUCGAUUUGAUCCAGUUUUGUACUAAGUCUAAUUCAAAACUACGACACUUAUUUUGCAUCGGAGGUAAUAGUAAAUAAACAAUUCAUAAAAAAAGAUAAGUGGCGGUUCACUCCCCUUAAGGGCUCGUUCGGUUGCAUCGUUCGUUAUGGGGAUUGAAGAAGAUUGAAGAAGAUUUGAACUAAAAAUUGACAGACUUUGAAAUGCGUCCGGUAUUCUACCGUGACGUAGUGGGCCUGUUAACGUGGAUCUAGUUUUGUUUAUUGCACAAGCGACGUGUAACAUGUUAACGUGGAUCUAGUGUUGAUGCAGGCAUGCUCUUGUUGAUGCAGGUAUGUAGUACUUCAAAUUUUCUACAAGUUGGUAGAUGCAUGUAAGAGUGCUGGAAAUGAAAUGCAAAAUAAAGAAGUUUCAGUUGCGAGCUUGGGAGUGGGGACAAGUUAGGCUAGGCCAGCAGGUGUGGUCCACAGAUUAAUUAGCGUGCUCCGAGAAUCUUGAUCUGCCUAACCAAUGCAAGUCAUGCAACCCACGGUACACAACAAAGGCAGGCCAUAACAGGCAGCUGGUGCGGACAAGAACAAGGCGACGACGGGAAAUCAAAACGCACGUACGUAGUGUUGUGCAACUUUCGCCGGUUGGAUGGUCCCGAAGUUGCACACCAAGAUCGUAGUCGAAGAAUCGAUCACACGCACAAUCAAGAAGUACAGUAAAAUAGAUGAACACCAGGUAGUAGAAAGAAACAUGAGUUUUUUAUUAAUUUUUGAUCUCAAGUGUACAUAUAAGGGGUAGUCUGCUCUCCUUUAUAUAUGGCCAAUGGAUAAGAGUCCACAAUAAACUAUUAGGUGGAGAAACGAGUCAACAGGGGGGUUGGUGGGGGCGCACGACUCGGUGGCCACCCCACCCCGUCGUUGCUUCCUCAACACUUCCCAUUGGGCAAUUAUUCAUACGCAAUAUGCCUCAAAAACUCCAAAAAAACCCAGCGGGAAAAACACAUGGAGAAAGAGAGCAUAUGAUACAUUGCCAUGUUGCACAGAUUGCCUCGUUAAAAACCUCAUGCGAGAAACACAAGAAAACUCAUUGAGAGAAAAAGAGUACAACCUACUCAAUUUCCAAGAUGAGUACCUAAUGGCCAUGAUCAAGAUUUAACGAUGAAUAUGCGAAGUAUCUCCCGCUAAACCUUGCAUCUCUCUAAGUCUCAACAUACUGAUUCCACACACACACCUUUCAAAAGUGGAUGCCGGUAGUGACUUGGUGAACAAAUCAGCAAGAUUUUCACACGACUUAGAAUGCAAGACCUUUACCUCGUUCAUCUUUUGCAACUCAUGUUCAUAGAAAAACUUAGUAUUUAUAUGUUUGGUGAGAUUACUCUUCACAUAACCCGUUUGUACUUGUGCAACACAAGCUGCAUUAUCUUCGUAGAUAAUGGUGGGGGUCUAGACGGUGUUCAGCCCGCAAGUCUGCUGAAUGUGGAGAACCAUCCGUCGAAGCCAUACACACUCACGUGAUGCUUCAUAUAGUGCUACGAUUUCUGAGUGGUUCGUCGAAGUCGAUACAAGACUUUGCUUUGACGAUUUCCAAGAAACAGCAGUUCCACCACAUAGAAAAACAUAUCCAGUGUGAGACUUGGAUGUAUGCGGGUCCGACAAAUACCCUGCAUCAGCAUAGCCUAUCAAAGAUAGGUCUUUAUUCCUUCUAUAAAAUAGCCCAAGAUUUUUGGUCCUUUGCAGGUACCGAAAGACAUCCUUAACACCUUUCCAAUGCCGUUUGGUAGGUUCAGAGCUAUACCUAGCAAGCAAAUUGACGGUCCGUUCGUGUACAAUUCGCGAGGUACAUGAGUGCUCCAAUAGCACUCAGGUAAGGAAAUUCUGAACCCAGAACUUCCUCCCCUUCUUCUUUCAGUCUGAAAGGGUCCUUGUCUUGCUGUAAUGACCGCCCAAUCAUGAAAGUCUUUGAAGGAUAUGCUUUGUCAAAUCCAAAUCUUUCCAACACCUUUUGAGUGUAGGUAGACUGGUGCACUAGAAUCCCAUCAUGGGACUGUUCCAGUUGCAGACCUAAACAGAACUUGGUUUAACCAAAUCCUUCAUCUCAAAUUCCGACUUCAAGUAGGAACUUGCUUCCUAAAUGUCCUCAGGUGUACCGAUGAUAUUCAAAUCAUCUACGUACACCGAGAUUAUACAGAAUCCAUCUUGGGAUCGCCGUAUAAAUACACAUGGGCAAUCUUCAUUGCUCGUGUAGCCCUUUUCAUGUAGAAAAUCGCUCAGACGAUUAUACCACAUUCUACCCGAUUGUUUAAGUUCGUACAGUGACUUCUUGAGUUGAACACUGUAUAGACCUCUGUUUGUUCUGUCUUUGUUCGGAACCGGGAGACCAUCAGGUAUCCUCAUAUAAAUGUCCAAAUCCAAGUUACCAUACAGGUAAGCAGUAACAACAUCCAUCAAUUUCAUUUUUAAGUUCAUAUUGACUGCCAUUGAGAUCAAAUAUCUAAAGGUAAUUCCAUCCAGGACCGGGGAGUAGGUUUCCUCAUAUCUACCGGGGAGUAAACCCCUGAGCAACUAACCUUGCUUUGUACCGUACUAUCCCAUUAUUUUCAUUUUUCUUGCGGACAAAUACCCACUUAUAGCUGAUAGGGCGUACGUGGGGAGGGUUCGACACACAGGUCCAAAAACCUCUCUUUUGUGCAGAGAUAAUAAUUCGGUAGUUAUUGCCUUCUGCCAAUCUUUCCAAUCUGAUCUCUUUUUACAAUCGGCGAGCGAGAUAGGCUCGGGGUCAAGAUCGAUGAUUGCGGCAAUUUUCUUAGCAAAGUUUAUGUCGACAUUAGCAGUCGCUCGGUUUAUUCAUUCUCCCGUGUUAACAUAAUCUAUGGCCAUUUCGUCAUGGGGCGCAUCAUGCGCCUCUGUCUCCACAGGAUUUCCCAUUCCUGGAGCGAGGUCCUUUAGUUUUUCCGCGCCGAUGUGUGCGCUCACAUCUCCGCUAGGUGCUUCCAUUGUUGGAAGGUUAAAGUCCGGAAUUCCUUGCGCUGGAGAUUCCGUACUUGUGCCAGGUCUCAAUUGGCUCCCCUCACUCUCUCUGGGCUUUUUAGUAACCGAGUGUGAUAAAUCCCCCUUGUCCUUUUUCAUCGGGCGUCCCCGAGUACUUGGGAUUUGAGGAACCAGAUUUCUCGUCCUUUUAGGCCUUUGGAGUCGAGCGGGUAGACCCACAGGAUCCUUGGGUAUCUCUACCCUUUCCGGUACAUUGCACGCAGGCACAUGUGAUUUUGUCACACUUCUCAAGUCUCUAAAGUGAUCAGGCAGUUGAUUCGCUAAAGCAUGCAAAUCUAUUAUAUUUUGGACUUCUCUAUGUGUCUCACUUGUGCGCGGCUCAUUUGCGUGGAUCCCCGUGGCUUGCCACGUCAAUUCUCGACUUUUCUCAUCAAGAGGUUGAUUUCCUCCCCCUAAAGUCGGGAAGAGAUUCUCGUAAAAAAUGCAGUCAGCAAAGCGGGCCGUAUGACAGUCUCCUGUCAUGGGGUCCAGAUACCUGAUUAUGGACACAGUCGCAUAACCAACGUAUAUCCUCAACUUACGGAACGGUCCCAUUGCUGAUCGCUGAGGGGGUGGUAUCGGUACAUAUACCUGGCAACCGAACCUACGAAGGUGGGAAAUUUUUGGUGCCGACCCUUGCGCUAGUUGGACAGGUGAAUGGAUGUUGUAGGCCGUGGGUCUAUAGUUGAUGAGAUUUGCGCGUGCAACACUGCAUGCCCUCAACACGUGGUUGGUAUAUUACAACCCCGAAGGGGUGGUCUGGCAAUGAAUUUAGUCCUCUUAAUCAAUGCCUCCGCUAGUCCAUUUUUCGUAUGGACAUGUGGCACAGAGUGCUCAACCUUAAUGCCAAGUGCCAUACAAUAAUCAUCGAACGCUUUUGAAGAAAAUUCUCCAGUGUUGUCCAUUCGAAUAGACUUUAUACGAUGAUCCGGGAAAUUAUUCCUCAUUUGUAUGAUUUGCGACAUCAACUUGGCAAAGGCAUGGUUCCGUGUAGACAACAACUUAACACAGGACCAUUUAUACGAAGCGUCUAUAAGCACCAUGAAGUAUCAAAACGGCCUCGAAAGGGGCUGAAUCAGACCACAUAUAUCCGCUUGGAUGCGUUCCAAAAAUGCAGUGAUAUCAUCCCUCACUUUCAAUGGUGAUGGUCGAAUGAUUAAUUUCCCCGUCGCGCAUGCCGAGCACACGAAAUCAUCAUGAUUCAGGAAAUUUUUAACAUUCACUCCAUGCCCAUUUGAGUUGUUAAUUAUAUUUCUCAUCAUUCUAAUACCCGAGUGGCCUAAUCUAUCAUGUCAUAAGCAAAAUAGUUCAGAGCUUCUAAAUAUAGUCUUUAAGGUAGUGUAUACGGGCGACGCUACUAUCUUAGUGUAGUAAAGCCUAGUGUCAAAAGAAGGGAAUUUUCAGCAACAUGCUUCCGGUGGGCAUCGCGCUUUGUGAUAAGUAGGCACUCUUUGCCAUUAUUAUCAUCGGUCUCCACAUGGAGGCCGUUUGCGCGGAUGUCCUUACAACUCAAGAGAGUUCGAGUCGACUCUGGGUACAAUAAUGCUUCCUCAAUGAGCAAACUUGUUCCCAUGGGGAGUAUGAUAGUAGCUCGUUCAAAGCCUACUAUUUUUGACUCGCCCCCUGCGAUAAUCAUUAUACUCUCCGGAGUCUUUUUAAUGGACUCGAAAUAAUGAGUUUCUCUCAAGAUAGUGCUUGUGGUACAACUAUCCACAAGGCACGUUUCCUCCGUUCGAGCGCCACGUGUUCUAAAAUAUAGCAUCUAAUUAAUGAAUGAAGCGAGGAAGUAUAAAGAACAAUCUUUCGUUGAUGCAAUAUAUUUUUUGUCUCUACCUAGAGACAAUUUUGAGACAGAGUUUCAUGUAGAGGCAGUCUAUGAGGCGUUAUGGAUAAUGUCAUAAAGAUAGAGACACUGGUUGAGACAUUAUGGUGUAAAGACAUUUUUUGAGACAUUUAAUAAAUUGUCACAAGACUCAUGUAGAGACAUGGUUUUGAGAUACUUGAUGAAAUGACCUUACGGUAUGGUUAGAGACACUAUUUGAGACACAUUUUAUGUUGUGUAGAGACAUUCUUAGCAAGUUUGAGACAUGUAGCAGACUACUCAUAAUAAUUUCAUUAGAAGUAUAAGCAAGAAAUGGUAUCAGAUUGAGAUGGUUAGGUGAGUGUGUAGUUUUCCUUAAGGUCUUGAGUUCGAGGAUUGGUUUCAGCGUAAUUUUUUCAAUGUAUAUUUUCUAGCACAUGAGUAUAGAGACACAAUUUAAUGUCUUUACAAAAUGUCGCAUUGAAUAUAGAGACAAUAUAGUGUCUCUAUGAAAUGUCUAAAAAGUAUAGAUACACAAUGCAAUGUCUUUACUAAAUGUCGUAUUGAACGUACAGACGGUAUAGUGUCUCUAUGCAAUGUCUAAAACAAUAGAGACGUUUUAUUAGUGUCUCAUCACACAUAGCGACACUGUCCGUAGUGGCAGUUUUGUGGCAUUGUACCAAGUAUGUUUAAAGUUAUGUAGAGACAAUUAUAGUGUCUCUACGAACCAAAAAUAAUGUCUCUACGGGCUAUUUCUCUUGCAGUGUAGCAACAUAAUUAAAUAAAUGCAUUACAUAUUUCCGAACAUAACAAGCCAUCAAUAUUAAAUAAAGGAAUUAAUGGAUGAACUCACAAAUCAUCCAAGCGAUGAAAGAACAAUGUUUUGCUUGCUCAGAGCAUAUACAACCACCUCAAGUGAUUUUAUAUCAUAGAAUCAUCAAAAUCAAUUGACAAAUGAAUCAUUAGGAGGGCCAAGUGCACUUGACGAUGGUGUCCUCAUCCUCUGCAUAUGUCAUAGUUCGGCAUGGUCUCAUCCCAUUAUCAGCUAUCACGGUAGCGAUAGUCGGGAGAGAGACGUGUGUGAAAGCACACAUAGCACAAACUCAACUGGGGUUGGCCAAGCUUAAUAGAAUCAGUUAGUGCUUCCAUUUUGCGCCUCCCCCUCUGAAUUAUAGCAAGGUUAAACCUCGAGCUAUUACAUAGCCUGAAAAUACUUAUGACAUGCGAGGAUGAACAACACAUGUGGAACCAGGACCAUCUAGUAAAGCAUAACACUUUGCCAACAUGUAUGUACUUGUCCAAAAGUACAAAGGGAUGGUGCAAUGCCUAAAUGUUCUCCUUGCAGGGUGGUGGCGGUAGUCAACAAGACACCAAGCCAAUCAACCUUCUCAAAAGCUACCAAGCUCCGAGAACAAAUCCACAUCCAAAAAUCAAGGCCAACCAUUUUAGGUCGGCUCCUCGAACCGUAGGUUCGUGAUUCAUAUCAUUAAUGCGAAUUUUUACGAGAUUUCAACAUAUAAUCUCGAGGUAACCUCAUGUAACCCAUCGCAUAAAUGUGAUAAAAUGAUAUAGUUGUUCAUAACAACGUUCCAAUAUUUAAAACAUGCGAGUUCAUGUCUUACUUAAUGAUUAAAAACAAUAAAGCAUAUUUACAAUUAAUCAACAACGGUAAAACAUGGUAAUACAAGCAUGUGCAUAGAGAUGGCAAGUUAAACGUUUCCUAAACGUGAAAAAUAUGCCCCAAAAACACAUUCCAAAAGCCAUUUUGAGCCAAAAUACGCGAAUUCAGCAAAAACUGACAAUUCCAAGGCCUUAGUCGCAAAAACGCAGCACAGUAAACAAUGUGCGUAAUUACAGAAAAACUAAGGGCUGAAAUGCAAAUCUACCGUCCUAGACCGAAUCUGGCCCGCCCACUCGCCUAUUGGGCCGGUGGCCCAACUCCCUGCCUAGCCUGGCCCAGCCUGGCCGCGCCAACCCUCAUUAGGGUUUCCCCUUGGGUGGCGGCGGCAGCUUGUGCCCGUGACUGAGGCGGCGUCCGUGGCGGCCUGCGCCUGCGCGCUCUAUGGCGCGGCGGCAGCUCUCAUGCCCGAAAAUGGAGCGACGGCGGUGGCCCCGCGUACAGGGCAGCAGUAGAGGUGCGGCGGCGGGGCCCGUGUGGCAGUCGGCGCACGAGGUGGGGACGGCCCGUGCCCGCGCACUAGGCAGUGGCGGCGGCGCCCGACGCUCGAUGCAGUGGCGGUAACCUGCGCGCCCGCGAACGGAGCGACGACUAGGGCGCGGGGCGACUGCGGUAAGCGCACCAAACGGGGGCGGCAGCGGGGCGCCCCCGUGCGGCGUUCACAACGGCACGUGCGACCGGAGGCGUAGCCCCGGCGCUCGCGCGCGUCCAGGAGGCUUACGGUGAUGGCAUUCGCGCCCGAGGGGCGGCGAUGAGUGCCCAAGGCAGUUGCGGCGUCGACCGGCGCGCCAGAGGCAGCAGGGAGCAGCAUCCAUGCCCGUAUGGCCGUGGCAGCAGCAACGCUUUACGAUGCGCUUGCUGUGGCGGCUCCAUGCGGUGCGAGUUCAUUGCGUCCGGCGGCACGUCCACGGCGCUUGUCGUAGGCUUGGGACGGCUCGCGGCGUGGAGCCCGCGGUGGCCGGCGGUGAGGCACAACAGUGCGACACCGUCUCCCCAUGGUAAUGGUCAACAAGUCGCUCGUGCGGCGAGCAUGAUUGUCAUUGGCCGGCGACUUGGUCGGCAACAUCUCGUGAGGGAAAUCCAUACCGUGGGUAGAAAAAUCCGAAAAAUAAUAUAGUCGCAAAAACGGAAUCGUAACACAAAAAAGAAUCCAUUUUUGCAAUAAAAUUUCGGAUCUAAUACCUCCGUGAUUUAUGUCGAGAGCCUGCUUUGGAGUAGGUUCGAUGAAGGCUCGGGGUAGAGACUCGUGCUGAUAACGUGUUGUGCAACUCCUGUCGGCUGGGCGGUCCCAAGGUUGCACAGCAAGAUCGUAGUCGAAAGAGUCGAUCACACACGCAAUCACGAAGUACAAUAAAAUAGAUGAACACCAGGGAGUAGGGAGAAACAGGAGCUCUUUAUUAAUUUCUGAUCUCAAGUGUACAUACAAGAGGUAGCCUCUUCUCCUUUAUAUAGGUCCAAUGGAUAAGAAUUCACGACAAAUUAUUAGGUAAAUGAACAAGUAACGGGGGAUUGGUGGGGGCGCACUACUCCGUGGCCACCCCACCCCGUCGUUGGAUCUCAACACGUAGUACGUUCGUACGGUGCCUGAGCUGAGACGAUGGUCCAAAGGCUUUACAUUGAUUUGAUUUUAUUCACCUGUGUGCGAUGUACAUGCAUGCAUAGAACCAAAGAAAAGCAACGUGAAAGAGAGAGGAAGAAUCAAAAGGGACAGGCCGGCCGGGACCGAUCGAUGGAGAUGGGGUACCUGCUCCUGCUGCAACUUGCCAUCGACUUGUGUACGCAUAUAGUGCACGGAUCGAGAGAUUGCAAUUUGCAAAUCAGGCAAACGCUGAUGUUGCCAAGCUCCAAGACAAGGCAUUGUAAUGCUUCAUGUGGUCCAUGCCCCUGCUACGAAACCCCAUGACGCGAGUACGCGACACGGGUCGGUAGAUUGGUAAUGAUAUCCAUGUCCCUGGUAAGUUGCAGCGGUUGAUUGUGCAGCAGAAUACAAGUGAAAGUAAAAUGAACAAUCAAAUUUAGGCUUUUUGGUCAUGACAUCUUUGACAUGUCGGUAAUACUUUUUUGGAUCAUAUGAACUCAAAAAUACAGGAACAAAAAAAAGAUCCGUAGAACUAGAAUGGGGGAGGCAGUGGCGGAGCGUGACCAAAAUUUCUCUAUCAAUUUAGAAAUAGUUAUUUCUCAGUCGACGAUAAUAGCCAUCUGAUUAAGAUUUUUCAUCAUGCAUACUUGCAUGAUUCUUGCACAAAUGCAAUGAUUGGAUCGGAUGGUUGUAGCAUCGAUCUAGAAAUAGUUUUUUCUCAAUCGCAUUAGAAAUAGCGAAACUGAAUUACAAGAUCUCAUGAAAAAAAAAGGAAAUGUUGAAUAUUACAAAAAUGGAAAAGAUAACUUGAAAGAUGUGUUUGGAUGCUUCACUAAUAGAACAUAGGGAUUUUGAGAUUAGACCAUUACUCCUAUUUAAUUGGAGUCAUGGAGGAGAGAGAUACAAAGAAGAUGCAUUGAACUUUUUGAAUUAAAGAAGAUUUCCAUGAGACUGCAUCACUCGUUUAGAUUCCUUCGAAAUGUAGAGAAAAAAAAAAUUAUAUCCUAUGAAAUUUCUUUGUUACAGUUCUAUAUGAUCCAAAAGACAUACGUAGAAUUAUUCCUUAGAAUUCAAUUGCUCUAUUUUUACUCUAAGAUUGUUACUAUGAUGAAGACCUAUUGCGGACAGAAGGUGCCACCGCAUGUGAACUUCAAGGUGCGAAAUGAGCAUUUUUCAUCGGACAACCCCAGGUUCCUUCUACUGCUAUUGAGCACCGCACUAUCUUCAACAGCUCGUUCUACUUUAUCUAGUAAAACAUUCUCGAAAAACUUUGUCUAAAACAUCUCGUACGAGUACAACGGAGUCGCAAAUUAAGGCCACUAGGAAACUUCCAAUGGCGAACGGGCCGCGACGCAGGUGUUCUUGACGGCGAGGCAGACGGGGCAGGCGUCAAGCCUGGGCUCGCACAUCUUGCAAAGGCACAAGUGCCGGCACGGCAGAAGCAGCACAGACGCCUCGCGCUCCCCGCAACACUUGCACGCCCACUUCCCCAACGCCAACGCCGGCGCCAGCGAGCUAGUUCCCACGUCGUCAUCGUUCGGCCCCUCGAAGCAGCAGGACUGGGCGUCGUCGGCGUCGAGAGCGGAGGACUCGCCGAAGCCCUCGGCCGGCCGGGCGGCAGCGCGGAGGAGGAGGACGUGGUCGAGCGUGGCGCGGAGGCCAGCGGCGACGGCUCCGUUGCUGCGCGCGAGGCCGCGCCACGCGUCGCUCUCGGCCGCCACCUGGCGGAGCCGCUCCUCCAGCGCGGCGUUGCGCUGGCGGGCGGCGUCCAGCUCGGCCUCCUUCUCCCUCAUUCGCACCACCGCUGCCACGGACGCCGCGUGGACCAGCGCCUGGCACUGCCGCUUCCGCGCGUGCUCUACCCCGGCGCGCAGCCUCUCGCAUUCGAGUCUCAUGAGCGCGUCGAUCUCGCCGUUUUGCCGGGACAGCUCCGACACGAGCGCUCCCGCAGACCACGACGAUAAACGGCCGCUCGUGGAAGUCAUCGCGGACUCGUCCGCGACGUUUGGCAUGCCAGGGAUCGGCAGCAGCAGCGACGCCGAGGAGUACGCGUCCGCGUCGUCCCGGCUGCGCUUCCGCGACUGCCCGUUGUGGCACGUCAGGCUGCUCGGCCCGCCGCUGACAACCGCGGCAGCGCAGUCGUUGUAGAAGGCCGCGGCGCCCGCCGGAGACAGAAGGGCUCUGUAGCCGUAAUCCUGCUGCAUCGCCAGCAUCUGCGCCUCGGCCUCGUAGGCCGGAUUGGGUCGGGGCAGACACGCAGCGGUGUUGAUGCCGGCUAACCCGCCGAGGCCGAACUGCGCUUGCACGGCCAUGCCAACAAGGCUCGAGACUUGAACGGAAGAAGAUAAGGAGGAUUUGCAUUGAGACUUGGCACGAGUGGCUUUUAUACAGAGAGGCGGUGACAUGGACGGAUGGUGCUGGGAAGCAACGACGAGACGCCACAUGACAAAAGCAAAGGAGGGAACGAGAGCGGUGGGGCGAUCCAUGAACGGCCCGAAUUAGUUAAGUCGUAGUUGUACUGGCUUGACUGGGUAAUUAAUCGAGAGAGCGCCCGCAAUAAUGGCCUGCUACCUCUGCUGUCCCGACGACCCAGACAGGCGAAUCCAAAAGGCUUUAGUGGUGGGCCCACCCAGGUUCCCGCAUCUGCGCACGGGGCGGUCAUGAUGAUGCGUGUGCACGCAUGUGCACCCUUGGGGCCUAUUUUCUGGUUUUAAUAAAUCAGCCGUCUGAUCCGGCCAUCUUGUUGCUCGGUGUCGCUUUCCUUGCUGCGUGAUGGAGUAAACAAACCAAACUGGUGAUGGAAUCAGAGCUCAAAGGUGGAGUAGAUUAACAAACAUGUGAGGUUCCUUUCUUUUUCUUCCACGUCUUUGAUUUGUCGGGAGGACCAUUGGUUCACACCAAUAACGGGGAGUACUAUUUACAAGUAGAUUAAUCGUGCUCGUUAUUGUUGGUUCUGUUGUCCGAUGGAUCUUUUUAUCUACUAUAACACACUUCGUUAUAGGUACCUUCAUUCUAACAUCAUUUCCCAAGCAAAGUUGAGGCCUCCUAAUUUUUUUUUCUGAAAGGAAUAAAAUAGUGAGCGAAUGUUUGCAUCCGCAUAAAACUAAAGUUGUCAUUCUCACGACUAAAGUUGUGACGCUCACAGAACUAAAAAGUUGCCACCCCAUGGAAUUAUACGUUCGCUCUCUAGCCUUCUGGCGCGACGGGGGUAUUGUUGCCACGCGCAUAGAACUAAAGUUGUCACACUCACACACCAAAGUUACUGCCCUAAAGAACUAGAGUUGCCACACCACAAAACUAAAUUUGUUGCCCCACAAGACACGUGGCGCGUUCAAAGCUAUAGUCUUCUCAAUCCGAUGGCCAGCAGAUCGUUCGCUCAUUAUAAAUUCCGUUUUUGAAAGGCCUAAUGCGGGUUAAAUAUGAGUUCUUUAACAAAUGUGCUUUAAUUUUCGGAAUGAUUGAGGUACUCGGUUUUUGGGAAGACAUUGGGUUGGGGUUCAGACGUUUAUUGCCUGGUAAUAAGUGGAUGAUUUGGUUGCACUUAAUCCAACGAUUAAUAAUUAUAAAUUUCUACCCAACCAUAUAAAUUUUCGUGGAGUCCGACAAACUCAGGGGAAUUCUCGGUUAAAUCUAUGGCAUCAUGGAUAGCCCUAUUGUGUUUACGUGUAAAUAUCUCUAAAAACUAAAAAAAAAACUAAAAGCUAAGAUAUUUACGUCGUUUCUUGACCGUCAAGUUCUGUUAACGGAAGAUAAUAGUUCCGAAAGGAAUUGGGAUAGGAUGUUUGAAAUAUAGUUUUUGUGGCACAGAGUAGUCCAUUCAACAUUUAUUCAUAUCUUGUACAUCUGUCCAAAUUAUUUGAACCUUUGAUUUUAGGGAAUUGGUUGAAUGGGGUACGAAAAAGACAAAGACUCACAUAAAGGUGGGAGUGUCUGUUGUUUGUUGGGAUAUUGGGAAGUGUUGUAAUGAUAUUAUUCUUAGCAUAUCCAGAUCUGUUCACUCUCUGCAUGUUAUCUUCAGGGCCACUGCAUUGAUCCGGCUUUGUACUUACUUCUCCCUGUGGACAAGCAGGAGCUUUCAGCUUCUAGGUACACAAGGCUAGAGAAGAUCACGCGAGAUUUCUCCAACCAGGCUGGCUGGAAGCCUGUUGCUAGACUUCAGGAUGCAUAUAUGCUAUCUUCAAAAUCUUUACCAUUUUUUGCUUAAUUGUUUUGUAUCCAUUUUAUGCGGCCUGUGAUUGAUGUACUUGGAUAAUAUAGCACUAAAAUGGAUAUUUGCAUCGCUUCGAAGAAGAGGCUGGGAGUCAGAAAAAAAACAUUUAUAACAUACUACUUGGGCUUUGGUAAAAAUAAGUGACAAUCAAAUAAUAAUUACUUUCAAAUACUUACUUAGUGAAUUUCACCGUAAAAGUUAGUUAGGCCUCGUGUGGUAGUCUGGUAUUUUAGAUGAAACCCGUCUAAAUUACCGGCGAGUCCUCACAGAUCCACUCUACAACCUGCUCGGCAGCCUGGUAUUGAGUUGUGUAAGCCCACAAAAACCCUAAAUACACAGUCUCGUGGGCUAUUAUUCGAGAGGCGAGGAGGGGAUUUUUUUUCCACGAGACGCGCAACGGCGCAGCCUCGCGGAGGCGAAGCCUGAUCCCGACGGGCGCUUCCUCCUGCUGACGACUCCUCAGCGGCAGCAAGCUCUCGUGGAGAACGGUCGAUCCGAGCGGGCGAUCCAUCGUGCCGACGAGUCCGCAGCAAUUCCCGGUGAAUCCGUCGAGAUCAACUGCCGCCGCCAAGCCAUCACCCUGUUGCUUUUCUUCUUCGCGGAAUUGUGGGCUCAGAUUUUUUUUUUUUGUUUCUUUCCUUGUGCUAGGUUGCCCAAGUUCGAAGAAGUGUUUAUUGGCAUUACUCAACGUCGUUGUGUUCUUCUCUGCAGCCCAAUCGAGCCUGAUGUCUAUCACCGCAUCAGUGCUUGAAGCACACACAAAAAGUUGUUUCACAUUUUACAAGCCAUGCUCUUGGACUUCCUGUUAUCAAUUUGUUGACACGAACUGAGCACGUCUGACUCCUUCCAACAAUAACCUGCUUGACUGUUUUCCUGUUUACCAAACAACAAAUUUGAGCAGGGGGAUAGUAGAUCGAGUAUUAAAAUGAAUGGUAUACUAGGGUAUUUGGUGAAAGCUCGUAAUUUCGUUAUUUUGGUCUUUUUUCUCAUCGGUUCGGCGAUGAUUCAAUUGUUUGACAACCUCUCUUACGAGGGACGUGUUCCCGCCCACCGCGUGUUCAAAAAUCUUAAGUUCUCACCCGUUGGAGUGGGCGGCUCAUGCGCUUACAAAGCUUACAAGGUUAGUUCAGCUUAUGCAUAUUUGGUCUGGAGAAACAUCAAGAUGCAAAAAACGCAGCUAGAAAAGUCGGCUUUUUAUUUUUUUCAACCAGUUAUACUUUAUUCUUUUAAAAAAAAACCUUGUUAAAAAAAAAACUCCCAACAUCCUCUAACGCAUUGCUGCCAAACGAGGCCUUAGCGUUCUCUGUUUCACGCUUUCACUGCCUAACUACUCUUUAUAACGGGGACGACAUCGUUACUAGUGAUCCUACACCCGCUGGACACUGGCGAGACAAGCCACGUGAGAGAUGACACAGGUUGUUCGAGCCUCCAUAGCCAUGUAUGACUGCAUGAUGCAUGGCUUUAUCCUUUACGUACAGCAGCGUCGGCAUGCAUGCCAUUGCGAUACACGAAUAUGCAUGCAUCCAUCCAUGCGGAUGCUGUGCCCACUUCAUGCCCAGCUGGCCUACGUACGUAGCACCAGAUCGAUCGAUCGAUUCAUUCAUAUAUAUACACCUAAUCAGAUCAUGCACAGGGUCGGAGCAGCGGUGCACAUGGACUCCAUGGACGAGCAAGCUAGCUAGCCGGGGUGAUUGAUGGGGCCCAACGUACGUGCACGGCAUCUUGUAGCUAGCCAGCAGUACUGUAGCCAUGGUCUAUGCUCUAGCUGAGUCGGAGUACGACGUGUCCUACAUGCAUGUAUCCAUGCAGCGUGACACGCCAAUAAAUAUAUCGACGGCAUCGUCUGUCCAUAUUGCGUCGGUGUUACGUACUGUACCUACGUUCCACCUUCCCUAAUUUAGCACGUCAGAUCGAUGGUAGCUUUGGUGGCUAGCUACCUGCUCCGCUGUACACCUUUCUGUUGCUCGAUCGGAAGAUGGAUCUAACAAUUUAGCUUUGUAGAAGCAUGCAGGUCAGCAGGUGAUGAGCUAAUUAAUUAAUUAGCCUGGGGCCUGCGUGUGCGUGUGUGAAUCUUUUGGAUGUAUCCUCUUCUGGAGUAUGCAUAAUGCAUAUACCGUCGUGACUCGUGAGGAGCUAGCUAUUCGUUUGAUUGGAAGAGUCAAGCUGCGAUCUACCGGCCGGGUCUACGCGCGCAUCAAUCUGCCAAAUCUGAAGAGUAUAAAUGACUGCUGAUCCUCGCCGUGCUUUGCGUGUCUGGGCCGGCAAGGAUAAGCUUCUUCAAAUAUGCAGGGAGAUAAAACUGUAGUAACUAGGAGUAUUAUAUAUAUACCCACAUUUCAUAAUUUUUUUUAAAAAUUUAUUAAAAAUAAAUUUAUUUAUUGUUAAAAAAUGUUUAGAUACAUGUAAUAUUUCGAUAAAAAAUUACAAAACGGAAGAAAUGUCCUAGUAGGAGGGUGACACGAAAUUAAAUUGCGGGCGCCCCUACCUAACCGGGUUCGUCGGGCGGCCUUACACUCUUUUUCUGCGACAAAUCAGGGGGAAAUUUUAAAUAGGGCUAUAAUUUAAUCAGAUGUCGCAUGCCGACACACCUAUGGAUAUUGAUGGAUUGCGUGCUGCUGUCAUCGGCAGUGCAAGUUUUUCACGCGUCGUCAUUUGCAUACGCUGAACAACUCCAAAUGGCAUGCGCGCAUCCGCAUGUCAAACAAAGACAAACGAGCCAGUCAUGAGACAAACAAAGCGAGUAGAAACAACGACGUGAUCAGUGACCUGUAUAUGUAUGUCUUUAUAUCAUCACCUGCACGAUAUAGACAUAUAAUGAUGUGAAGGGUAUGACCUUUGGCUUGUCCGUAUGUACCAAGGGCACCAUGCAGUACUAAUUGUGUUGUUUGUCUGAGGCUGCAUAGUUUCUUUAUACACAUAUAUACAAACAUGGCUGCGACUUUUUUUCCAGUCUCGUUUUCUUCAUUCCAUGGCAUACGUCAUAGAGGUACAUACAUAUAAUAUAUGGACGGAUCAAGGAUGUAUUCCAACCGAUGGGUAAUGAAUAUGAAUAUUGUACUGCAGAAAUAAAUGGAGCUAGACGGCCGGAGAUUGAUUUUAUAUGCACACUGUAUAUGUCGACUAGGUGUGUGUAUUCUCUGUAGAAGCCAAAAGAAGUGUUCUCUUCUAAUCUCUCUGUUUGAAAUUAUAAAAUAUUCUAGAUUUGUUCUGAAUCGGAAGAUUUUUUUACCAAGUUUAUAAAAAUUCUAUCAAAAUCUACAACAAUAAUUAGUUUUAUUAAAUCCAUUAUGAUGUACAUAGUAUAAAUAAUCUUUAAAAUCUACAAAAGUUAACACAAAACCAAAACAUGCUAUAAUUAAAACAGAUGGAGUAAGUAUGCCAAAAGGAAAUGCGUCGACUUAUUAGGUUUGUCUCUUAUCUGCGCCUAUGCCAAUGUGGUUCCGAUCAUGGGGAUUUCAUAUAGAUAAGUGGAACAAGGGGAUAAUAGUUUGUUUUUUGUUUGAUGCAUACUUCUCAGUGACUACAGCUGCUUCCGGCAUACUACAAGACAAUUAUUUGUAAGAGCGCAUUUAAGUUCCCAAAACCAAGUUUUCUUUCUCAAAAUCGCUGGUUAGGAAUCAUAAGUUCUAAACAUUAUUCCUGUAUUUAUUUUUCAUGAUAAUCUCCUUGGUUAUUGUUGUAAUGUAAUAAAAAAAUUACAUGGAACGGGUCGUAAUCCUAUGUGACGACGACCAAAUCAACAAAUUCCAAAGACCGGUCAAAGUGCCAAUAAGGCGUAACUAUGUCAAUUAGGCGCCGGUUAAAGGAGUCAACGAGUCAAAUCUCACAUGCCAUGGUCAAAAGAGAAGAAGAGCUUGAGUAGGGGCCAAGAAAUGUGUAGUGAUGAGUUUACCACUUUGCACUCAUUUUCCCCCUCCCUUAAGUGCAUUCAUGGUCUUUUGUCAUGAACCCCUAAGUUAUAAAUACCUUCACAUGAGUGACAUAUAUCAUUUACUCUCCAUUGGAAUAAGAUCAAAGGAGAAAGGGGUAGAGCAACCUAAGAGCAAGGCCAAUGUGAGCCACGCCUGGAUGGAAAACUAGAACCGAAUCUAAGAAAACCAAAACAGGCGCAGCGUGCAAUUUUUACUAGCUUCGGUUUGUGGGACCCACGAGCAGCAUGCUGACCCCACGAGUUCCCAUCUCAAGAAACCUCUCCGCACCAAACGCAAGCCAAGAUCCCCAAAUCGUGAAAUCACCUCUGGCCGCUUCCCCUCUAGUGCGCGUUUCUCUUCUCACCCCCGUCUCCCACCAUAGCAAUCUCCAAGUAAAUUACCUCAACUGCAGCCAAUCGAUCCAUGGCAUCUCUGCAGCUUCCCUUGCAUGCGUGCCCAUCGAUCCAUCGCCGGAUUCCAACCCUCCUCGUCCCCCGAUCUGGUUCACUGAUGAUGAGCCGUCGCUAGCGGAGAGGAAAUGGGUGGAGCAGCGCCGUAGAUGGGAGGAGCCGCCGUUGUCGCCGCCAAGCUACUCGGCCUCCUCCUUCUGGCCUCCGUCUCGAUCUAGUCCUACCAGCCAUGCCCGGCGCUUGCUCGUGUCGGCCCCACCAAAGUCAACAAUGAUUUUUAAAGAAAUUAGAAUCGACGCAAGUAGAAGAAUCGGUUCCUGAAAAUUUUUCUUAGCUAGAACUGCUCCAAUGGCUUGGAUUGGUUUUUCUCUUCUUUGCUAUGGUUGUUGACCAACGCUGCACAUGCUCUAAGUAGCCCGCUCUCGAGUGCUUGAGUCGAGUCUAGCCUCGACUCGACCUCGGGGACGUGACUUAGAAAGCCUAGUUUUGAGGUUCCAGGUCGUCUUGUACGACCUCGACUCGAAGUAGAGAGAUUGGAUUAGAGUCUCAAGGGUAUCGCAACCUCGCUACUUGGAAAGACAAAUUCGGCCCAAGUCCUAGGCGGCCCCAAGAGAUCUCUCGUCAUAUAUGAUUUGGAAGACGAGUUCGGCCCAAACACCCGGCUAAUGACCCCCUCGAAGCCUCUCCUAACAUAGGACUAAGUCGUGCCCGCAGGGUCGACUGAACCUAUUGAAAAAAUAUCGACGUGUCAACUUGUCCAAGUGUACGGCGACUUUCGCUACAAGCUCGGUGUACACACCCUAUAUACAAUACCCGCACUUGUGCCAUGGAACAUUGGCACCACUUACUCUUGUUGUUUUCUAAAACAACAACAGGGCGCCGACCGUGGGGAACUCCCGCCGCAAUUGAAGAUUUCAUGACACCGACGAAGCUUACUUCAUCGGGUGCCCAACUUGCCGCGAAGUCUACAAGGUUACAAACAAAAAAAGCAAACGUCUCAGGAGCUCCCGAGAAAGGAGAAAUCCUCACCAAUCCGGACGUCGCCGCAAGCAUGGGCGCAACGAUUGAAGUCGUGGCCGCACCUCCGCUCCCAGCCGUCCCCGAAGGAGCCGAAGCACUCAAAACCGUCGUAGGCGGUCUCUCGGUCCUCACCGACGUGGUGGCAAGGAUCGGCGAGCUACCUACAGUUACCGCCCCCGCAAGGGACGCGGAACUCAGCAUGCCUUGUUCGAUGGGCUUCACGCCACCUUCACUACAACCAGUAGUGACCUUGCCUUCGAAGCCUACAAGAGGAAACAGUGUGGCGUCAGGAGAAUUCGCGCCGGAAAACCAAUGAGUCCCGGCUUACGACCCCUCCAAUCCGGGACUACCACCAUUAGCGCUCGCCGCGAUCGCCCAUGGAGCUCCUUCGUACCACCCAUAUAGGGGACUUCCGCCGCAUGGUGCUCUCCGAGUCACACACGCUCCGAACUAGCCUCGCUUCGCGAGUGCCACGCAAGCGCCCUUUGCUCCCCCCGCCGGGGCCGAGCAAGGUGGCAACCAAGCACCACCUCAAGAUGCGCCCCGCGGAGAUGGAGAUCCCAGCAUGCAUGGAAACGAGUAAGUGGCGGAGUCCGGAGCCCUCCCCGGCAGUGAAAGAAACCCUCGACGACGAUCCAACCCUCCAAGAAGACGCCGAGAUCACUCUCCAAGUGAUCCUUCUAGCGACGAAGGCGAUUCCGAUGAAGGAGGAUCUCGCCGCCGAAGAAACCGGAAGGGCCGACCAUUUUGCUGGGGCACCGCAAGGGCACGAGCCACGCCUCUCCCUCCAUCUCUCCCUUUUGCUGUUUCCGGUGAUUGGACGGCAAGAGCAGGAUGGGACAUGGUGGCCCGCGGCAUGCCGGUCGCCCUGAGAAGAACAGUCGACCACUGCAGGUACAUCCCAAGCAUUUUCGUGCUUCACGACGUCGUACGCUAGCCCGUACGUACAUGGCCACGGUCGGCGCGGCCAACUGCGCGAGCAGACGCAGCUCCGAUGCCGCUGCCUUCGUCGCCUGAAAGCAGCGGUUGGAACAUGGAGACGGCGAGCCCAGCGACGCAGCAGCAGGCCUUCACGGCAAGCGAGCAGGCAAGGGAGAGAUACGGCGAAACAGAAAAGCAAAGGGAUGAAGUCAUCUCUCUCUUCACGGUCGCCUUUGUGCAGAAUCCCCCAAUUGCAAAUCCUUUUCCUUUUUAUCUGCUGCGCACACCAAGUGUUUGCCACAAUUUCUAAAGAGCCAGGUCUCAUUUCGAGCAAUCAAGCAUUUGUUUGACACGAUAAGAUUGAACAUUUCAUUUCGUUGGAACUACUAGUUUGCAUGAUGUUGUCGAUCUGUACAUACACACUGAAAUGCUUGUAUGAUGUCUCGUUAGCCAACCAUAAUUUUAGCUAAAAAUCUCUAACUAUUUCUAAUUGACAGGUUUGUUCUAAAUCGAAAAUUAGACAUCGACACAUCAAUAAAUCUGUAAAUAGACAAGUAUAAUCAUACUUUCACAAACAUCUUGGCAACUAAGUGUGAAUAAGCUGGCAAGUAGGCUAAAAUCAUUGUACUCUAUUUUACUAAUUGACAGGGUUGUGUUCUUCUUUCUUUUUCCUAAUCAUUGUACUCUAUUUUAGAGUACUUUCCGAGUUUGCGUUCUAGUAAGGCAUAUGUGAUUUAAAAGAUUUUUAUAGGAAUUUUAGAGGGUUAGAAUCCUCAAGAAUUUUUCUUAUGUGGUUCAUUUGAUUUGUUGGAUUGAAUUUUAUAGGAAUUUUCCUAAAUAUUCAUUCGUACUCCACCCUCUCUUAAAUUUUCACCAACUCCAACCUCUUAAAAAGAAUCGUUAGUUUUUCUAUGAUGCAAUCAAACGAGCUUAGUUAUGAACCGAAUCGUAUAAGAAUCAAGUGAUAUGACUUUCAGUUCUGUAUUUUUUUCCAUUCGUGUGUUUUUCCAAUUAUGUGAAUCAAAAGACGAUGAGAUGGAGAACCCGGGGUUUUCGCCACCCCGUUCCCUAAAAAAGAGAGUUAUCCUCAGUUUGUAAUUUUUUUUAUACAUAUGGUAAUUUCGUGACCAAGUUUCGUAACAAUCGACGCAUUAGUUAAUUAAAUUGUAUAGGUAACAAUUGAUGCAUGAGUUGAUUGUACGAGAAACACUGUGACUGUUAGUAUAUGAAGUUAUCCUUGAGAAGCGUUCAAUCAGCAGACGUCAGCAUUCAUGCAUGUGAGAAAAUCUUAAUCCUGCGAUUAUACGUACGUAGUUAACGGAGAAGAACUAUUUUUCGGUUGACUGCACGCUCACCAACUCGACUCCAUUGUAAUCUUCCACUCACCGAUUCACGGCAUAUUUCGUCCGACGAUUCAUUGCACUCAAGGGCAAGGACAAGCAUACAUGAGCUUCAAAAAUAGUUUUAUCCUACCGUUGUAUGCAUGCACGUCAAUCGUGGAAGUUUCCAUGCGUUUGCGUGUCCUCAACUCCAAAUGGCACCGAUCGAUGCACUCGUGUCAAACCGGCCGGCUUAGGAUCCGACAACAAACGAGCGAUCGGAACAGAGCGGAGAAGAAAACAACGACGUGAGGUCUAUUGAGGCUGCAUGUUAUCUUCAACUCGAUCGUCAUCGAUUAAACUAACGUAACAGGACUUAUCUGAUCUUGAGGAAGAGAAGUGCAGAGCGCACGUCCUGAAUAUAUAUAUGGACAAGUCAUGACUUCACAUGACAUGGCCGCAAGCUUGCAGACCGGUCGAAGAAUUUGUGGACUUGCCCUUUCUCGUUUUCUCGAUGCAUAUAAAAUCCAAAGUUGAUAUGCGGUAACGUGGAUAACAUAACAAAUUAAGGAAAUGGCUAGAGCGAUCGAUGGGGACGGCCGGCCUGAGCCCUGACGUCGAUCGAUUUGUACAUUUUUGGACGAUUUUUCGUGCAUCUUCCAGACGAAACGGAAGGAGAUCAAGUUGCAUGCGUUCGCCUUCGGCCAUCAACUCGUAUAUAUGUCCCUGGUUGUCGUUUCUUUCAUUUGUCAAUUGAUGCCUCCGGAUGGAUCCAAGAUCGUACCGAUUAAUUGUCCUACGUGUACUUGAAAACGAUUUGCCAGUUUGCCACGACUGAGACGCAUGAAUAGGAAUUCAAUCACACAAGCUGUACUAGUACUACUGUAGUACAUUUCACGUGUGAAGUAAAAUAAUAAAAUGGGUUUUCAACUCGGCGGGUCAACCAGGGAAGGCAGGCGACGCCACUGGCAUCGUAUCCUAUGCAUAUGUUUGCUCUUGGACGUGGCAUUUCCGUGCAUGGAAGAAAAGAACGCGGUAUUGAAUGUCUGAUGGUGAAAACCUUGACCAGGGCCAGGAAACAUAUGUGCCAAUGGUCCGCACCACCAUGGGCGGGCCCAACUCAAUUCAAGGGUAAUACCCUUGAUUUUUUUUCAAAAAUAUGAAUAUAUAUACUAUGUAUUUUAUAUGUAUGCAUGUAUAUAAUAUUUUGGGAUAAAACUCAAAGUAAUCAAGCAUUGAGCCCUAAAAUGUACUGGCCGUAGAGGAUACCCAUAAUCUCGUACGACCUAUGCUUGCACCUGGUGCCUCCUCGUCUCUUUUUAAAUCCCAAAACAAAUAUGUCUCAAAUCCAACGACCUAGCGACUUCUCCUCUGCUCCACGGUGUGUCGGUGUCCCCGUUUUUGGGCAUGGGCCAGCUAGGCGGGUUGGCUAAUGCUCCGCGAUCCGGCACUUCCGUCGUGGAACUGCCAUACACUACGCUGCACACAAGAGGACAACACCUUAGGAAUCACUCGAUUAGAGACGCAAAAUUUUUCACCAAAAUUUUAGAAGCAAUUUUGAAUACCCAGUGUCAAAAUCCUGGGCCCGCCCCUGCGCACCACGCACUUGCCUUCUGCUUCUGCCUGGAAUCAAUCGCCAGCACCAUUAAGAAAAAGAAUGAAUCACCAGCAAGCAGUACACACGUAAUUCCUCCCUUCACAAAUAAAUGUGCUUUUAAGUUUGUCCUAAGUUAGAGAGAGCUCAAGUUAGAGAUAUCAAAGUUUAACCAAUUUUAUUGAAAAACGUAGUAACAUUUAUGACCCCAAAUUAGCAUCACUAGAUCCGUUUUAAAAUGUAGUUUCAUAAUAUAGUACCAAAUUUUUUUUUUAAAAUGAUUAAAGUUAAAUUUUUUGACUUCAGACAAAAAUAGAUGUGCACAAAUUUGUGUACAGACCGAGUAACCCGUUACGUACAUGCUACGUACUGGCCCCGGCGACCGGCGUGUGGAAGAAUAAUCUCAGAAAAGCAAAAGGCGAAAGCUAGUCUGGGCAAGUAGAUUAAAAAAAGCGUGGAACUGGUGCAUCGUACAGUUCAUUUCCGUGCCGAUGAGCACAUGUGCCGCGGUGUACUAGGCAGGUUUGUGAUGCUCGAUCCAACCGAAAGUUCGCGUGCAACUGCACAUCGAGUCAUCCAGAUAACAUGAUCCAUCUUGAUGGUUAAGCGACGCGUACACUCGCCCGCACAACUAGAUGGACCAAUCCCUAAAGCUUUUGUAUGCCUUUAUUCCUUGCCUUCAGCUCCUUUCCUUUAAUAUUUAGGUCUUUGCAGCCGUGAAUAAAGCUGAAUGUGAAUGAUAUGCAUCUAUCCUAGCCGCUAUCGUUGUCAAUCAGUGGUCCUUAUAUCUCACCUCAUGCCUUUAAUUUGUUUGGUUCUCUUCUUGUUUUUUCCGCGGAUGGCGUAUGAUAACUUUCGAAAAGGAAUGAUGGGUGAUAUGAUAGGCAUUGAAAGUUUUGAUACACAUGCUGAUGGAUCAACGUGUCGUCAUUUGUCUGUUCCUUUCGAUCUUAAUUUCUCUACCGGAAAAAGCUGAUAUUACCCCCCUUAUUAAACUUGUUAGGUAAUUCACCUCCCUGGAUUCUCAAAACCGAUUAUCCCCUAGUCCAUUUUCACUUGGUCUCUUCGAGUGGGUUAAUCUAACUUCAUCAGUAUCAACACAUCAGCUUUUUCUGGCUUCUCUUCCACAUCAAGAUGAUAUUUCUUCUUACUUCCUCCGAUUCAUAAAAAUGUCCCCCAUUUUGUACCAAGUGGACAACACUUUUUAUGAAUCGGAGGAAUAUAUGUAGUUCGCUCAAUUUGGGUCCAAAAUUAAAAGUUCUGGAGAAAUUCUGAAAACUUACGGAGAAAAAGAAACACUCCUGUCGUUGGAAACUCUCAUCGUUUUGACUAAUUAAACAUUGAGGUGGAAAUGACUUGUUAUGUUGCUGGCUCAAACUUGGGCAGAAAAUUUAAAGUUCUGGAUUUUUGUUAAAGAGAGAGAAAAUCGUAUGUUCUAGUGAUUGUACUGUCAAAUCUCAGCUCAUUUAGACGAAAGAUCGAUGAGCCAAGGACUUGGCAACCAUAACAUGGAGAGAGGGAGAUAGAAAGCUUGUGAGCCAACACAUAAGUUUAGAGUGUAAUAUGGGCUUAUCUUUUUCUCUCCGAACUUUUUUUUUACCAUCGUAUUGUCUUAAAAAUAGCAAAGUUUAGACUCCUUGGUUGCGCCUAUUCUUUGUCCAUGGAGACAGACGUGAAGGUGACACUAAUAGUGAUCAGUGGCUUAUUUAGUAUCUACGGUUUCAAGACAGGGUGGUCCUUUGUAUAAUUUCUUUAUGCCGAUAUAAAUUAUAACAAACAAUUUUUUACCCCAGAUAUCACUUUCCAGCAGCAAACAUACUAAUAUUGAAUUUCAAAAAAGAAAUUCAGCACUGGGACAAUCCAAUUUCAGUUCGGUCAAUGAGCAAACCUGGCUGUUGUGAUGUCGUAUAGUCAUCAAAUGCCGUGUGCUCGCGUUGAUGAGGCGUAUGUUCGUUGUCUGCUGGUUGACGCGCACCCGUGCCCUAGUACGUCUCUGCGACCACGAGAUUUCGGUUGUGGACUCUUCUAAGGUCCUACUCGUCUGUGUCGGCGAUCGUUAGGGUCACAAUGACGGCAAGGAAUACGGUGCGAAGCUAACUGCUUGUGCUCGUCUGCUCUUAGGGAUCUUAGCUAUCUGCUCAUGUUCUUCCCGAUCGAUCGCUAGGGGAGGCCCGAUCCAAUGCGACAAUGCAUACACUACAUGACGUAAUAAAUGAGAACAAGAGUCGAUCAAGGAGAUAGGGCACCCUAUGGAUCCGCCAAUGACCGUGAUAGGGUUCUCAAUGCAUGCAUAAAAAAAAGUUAUCUUUGUCCCUUGGAGCUCAAGUUGAAGGUAACUUUCCUGAACAUUUUAUUGGAUGAUCAUCUUUGUAAUCAAUAUAAAACUUUAAAGUUUUUAAGAUCAACAUCCUUCGAUAUAUAAUUAAAUUAACUCCAAACAAGAGCUUAAAAAGGGUUAGAACUAUUGCUCAAGAUUAAAUAAUUUCAACGACAAAGCAACUCUUGUUAUUUAAUUUUUAUCUUUCUCCUACUUAUUUUCCUCUAACCUGAAUCGAUCAUCAUGUUAUUUUUUUCAAGGUAACGUUUUCAAUUUUGACCCACAUGGCGUACUAUUCUUGGUUUUGUGCUAAUGCUAUUAUGUCUGCAAGACCAUAUCUUCAAUUUUUUGAUCUACCUUUUAUUUAGAAAUUCAAAAAAAUAUUAAUAGAGGCAUUUACGGUAGGGACGAAUGAAUAGAAGCCCUCCGUUUAGCAGAUCGAAGUGCUUAAAUCUAUCAAUACUAGGAGAACAAAAGAGCAGUAUUUACUUUUACUACUAGUAAAAAAGGUAAAAUCUAGGCAAAUCCCCCACGAUCCAUAUCCAUAUGCAUAUGCAUUGACGAGGAUUAUUUAUUUCCUCCAUUAUAAUACAUGACCAUAAAUGUUAAUUCUAUUUGUUAUUGUGCCGUAAUUAUCGCACAGGAAAAAUGUGUAUCCCGUUUUUUAUUUAUUGAAAAUGUUUAUUUUUUAAACCAAAAUUCAUGUAAAGGUUUUGAAAUAAACCUAACAACCUAUAACCAUGGUCUCGGAUUUCACGCAAGACUUGCGCUUUAAAAAGUCGACGUUUGGUCAACUCUGCCACUUCAUUCGAACAACCGUAUAGACGGUUUCGACCAACAUCAUGAGACGAACGCAACCAUGGUUUCGGAUUUCUCACAUGACUCAUGGUUGAAAAAGUCAACUUAUGGUCAACUCUCUCAGCUCAACCGAACAACACUACGGUAGUUUUCAACCAAGUUCAAAAGACGAACCCAACCAUGGUCUCGAAUUUCUUAUAUGGCUGACGGUUUAAAAAGUUAAUUUUUGGUCAACUCUAUCGGCUCCAACUUCAGUAGAUGAACCCAACCAUAAUAUCAGAUUUCUUAUAUGUUUCAGGAUUCUUUUGGUCUACUUUUGGUCAAUUCUUUUAGUUCAUGGAACAAGUAUAAUUCGUAAAUCAUGGUUGGGUUCGUUUCGUGAAAUUGAUUGAAAGCAACUAUAAAUUGUUCGGUUUGUUCUAACUUUUACAUGUAUUUUUGUUUAAAAAUAACUAUUUUUGAUGAAAAAAACCGUUCGAUCGUAUCAAAUCAAUUGGCGAUUCUAUCCAAAUUUAGAGACAACGAUCGGUUCCAAUACUACCGUAAACAAGUACAAGUAAAUUGUACCCUGAAAAGCACCUAUAAAUAACAGCUUUUCUAUGUUAUGAAAAAGGCAGGACGCCCCGUCGUGUGGCUGGUGUCCCACUGACAUGGUAGAGUGUAGAAAAUAAGGGAAGACAUGCUGCUAGAGUGUAGAGUAAUCCGCUGGUGCAGGACAAUAUCUGCUGUGCUGUCAUGCAUGUACGUAGGGCGCGUUCUGCAGUGCCUCGAGCAGCAGGCGAGCCGUACAAACGAGAGGACGGCAUCUGCAGAAAAGGACGGUGCAGGUCACGUUGGGCGUGACUGCUUAUACGAAUACCCACACGGCGGCCCCAUCAAUCACCUCACUCAAACAUCUGACCCUACGCGGCACCACGGUACGGUAUGUACGAACGCAAUUACGGACCAAAGGACGAUGCGUCUGUGUACAUGUGUGCGUAUACGGUCCGCGAUACGACGCUCCUCGCCCACAGUUGCACAGUAUAUUUCUAGCGAAAUCUACAAGAUCUUCUCGCACGCAUGCACAUGGCGUGUCCCGGCUCCGCGGCAUUGUCUGUCUGCUCGGCGCCUACUGCGGCUGAACCCGUACGCUUCGCUGUCGUCUGCCCGACUGCCCGGGACAACGUCCUGUUCUGUCAUUAUACAGGCGAUCCAUACGUACGUACUGACAACCCAUACAAACUAUCUACUUUCGUCGUGAAGGUAAAGCGUUGAGAACACAGUCACGUAUACGCGCAGAAGACCAGACGGGCACGUAGGAAACUAGGAAUACGAUAGGACAUGUCUGGAGCAAACGUGAUUUCGUGCCUCUUUGUAGCGUGUGAAUCCCGUCGUCCGGUCGGGUCCAAGAAAGGGUACGUGUUACGACAGCGGUAGGUGGUGGCUGGGUGCCACUGCCAUGCGUCCAGCGUGGGCUGCCUGCCUGCACUGCAUGCAUCCAUCCAUCAUGUGCCGUCCGAGUCACGUACGGCAUGCAUGCCCCCACGUCCGCUGUGACCGGCGGGCCAGGGCCCAAAUUGCAUGAGCAAACAACCAAGAAACACACGAUCGAUCCAAGUCACGCACUCCACGAGAGAGGACGACGUCGUAGCUUGCGAGGCAAACAGCUUUACGCCCCAUCCAAGUCACGCACAUGAAUAGACAACCUCUCUUAUUUUUUUAAGUCAGCAUCGAUCGUUGGACGGAACGGGACAGACACGCAGCAGCAGGAGGGGUCUGCCCAUGCUCGCGUGCUUUCGCUGUUCCAAAGAAGUGAUCGGUACGACUGGCCGGGCUCCGCAGGCCUUGAAAAAGGCGCGUCGUUGCCUCGUUGAUUGAUUAAUAACCGGGGAACUUCAGAUAAACCCGAUGGUCAUGGGUUGAAGAGAUUAUAAAGAUGUGCCUGCGGGAUGCAUACAGAUGCAGGCCGUAAACAAUGGGGAACGCAUCCGUACGGACUGCCGCUGGACUUUGCUUCCAGGGCCACGAUCCGUCGUUCGCAUCGAUCUCCCUGCUGAGUCAAAAGCUUCGCGUGUACUAGUAUGCACGCACGAACUUGCGUCGCGUCUCUGCAACUUCGCGUGCCUUUCCGAGCUCCGUUUAUCCGACGUCGUGUUCACUAAAAAUCAGGCCAUGACAUAGCAAAACUGUUGAAAUAUACGAGUACUCUGCGUACUUGGAGUACGAGUAGUAUGGGGUGUAAACGUACAAACAACGGUUGAUAUCGUUGAGAUCGGCGGCUUACUUUUGGUAUUGCUAAGCCGUAUGCUGAAAUGAAAGAAAGAAAGGAUUGUAUAGCCAAAGGAAUAACGAGAAGAUGAUUGGAAAAACUGGAUUAUCAUAAUCCAUUUCAAUGCAAACGCAGCCUGAAAACAACCCUAAUUUGGAAUAGAUUGAGUACAUUUUAUUGCAGUGUACAAGUGUACAGCCGCCGUUGCAAAUGUCACGUUUGAACGAGUACUGGCUGUAAAUUGAUCUCUGUUUUUGUUCUCCUACCAACAAAUACGGAUGGUGCAUGCUUUGCAACUUCCUGGUAAUUUCUUCUACCUCUCUCUCAUGUACAGUUUCUGCAAAAUCAGUUUUAGACUUUUGUAUCUAAAUCUGUUUAAGCCUUUUCGAUCUAGCUGAACGCUCGGACGGAACCACGUGGCUGGGCUCGAAUCUCCCGGCAUGCUGAUCCGGUCCAGGCGCUGAUGCAGCUGUACCAAAUCUUGGCCAGCACAGGUCGACACCAACUAAUAUAAUGUUAUUCUGAUUUGAUCCAAACAAUUGCAGCACUUACUACAGUUGGGGAGUACUAGUAUAUCGGAUUAUGAUAUGGCACCGGUUAAGUGCAUGUUGUCUUGUAUAAUUGUCUUGCUUUGCCAGGAUAGCCGCCCUGCACUUACAUAAAACUAUCUAACGUGUGUAGAUUACAUUAUAUUAGAUUCAGAUCUCCUGCAAAUAAAGAGAUUAGAUUCAGAUUAGGUUAAGGUGAUGAAUAAACAAGAAGCGUACGGCGUGUGCGUCGUCCCGGUGCUUUGACCGUCCGUUUGCGUCCACCGCAUCCCCAUCAAUCUCGCUGCCAACCUGUAUUUUUGUACUACUAUCGCUGCUGCCAUGACUCCAUUUCCACAGAAAAUUAAGAGAAGGGAAAGAAUGGUUGUACACAUGGAAAAAGUCAAGUCGGGUGCAGUAGCAAUGGCGAGUGUUGGCGUGGGCCCACGUGCUCCCUCGUCUCCCAACCUUCCUUGAAAAGACCAGGCUAAUAUUUUUAUUUUGAUAAAGGGAGUGCUCCUACCGGACUAGCGUGAUGAUGACAGGCGAUUACUAGUGGAACAAAACAACCGCAGAAGAAGAGGCCACGAACCUACCUCACCUCGAAGGCUUGACAUGUCAUUAUUAUUAUUACGUACUAAAUUUAUAAAGGAGCAUUUUUUAUGUUUUGCCAUUUGAUCAAUUUUUUCUAACUCUCUCACUUCAACAAAAUCAAAAUUUGAAUGCAUUUAUACAUUAAACCAUAUCUAGAUACAUUUAAAUUUUGAGAAACCUGAAAAGACUAAGGAAGUAUGAAUUUUUUUAUGUACCAAUGUAUUUUAUUGAUUUUUAAUAUAUUUUUAUCAGCAAAUUUCAUUGAAUAUCAGAAGAUUUAACCUAGAAUAAAACUAAGAUAUCCUCAGGCAUCGCAGGGGUAUCCUGCCACUCCACUCUUUGUACUGGUCCAUUGACAUUACCGAGCGACCCUUUCUUUAUCUAUAUAUUCCAUCUUUUUUAAUCCUUGAUGCAGCACAAAGAGACAAGGACUGAUGACUGGAUCAGAUGACCAAAUAAUGAAAGGCUCAACCGAGAGAAAACUAUUCCUCGAUUAGCACAUGCGUACACACGUAGCAUGUCUUGAACCGCGGGGGGGCCUAGCGCGCUAGGCCACUUUCUUGGAUUUGCUUGGCUUUGGCCGUUGGGACAAGGAGGAGUAGGCUAUUAUUGCGCCCACCCAGAUUUAUUAUGAGUCAAGCUAUUAAACCGGCAACCAAUUAAUUCCCUUCCUUCGCUAACCCAACCCCCCGUCCCCGUGCAUGUAUCACAUCUCGCCACCCUCCCUGCUUUUGUCCUGUGGUGCUGCUCCCCACCACCAUCCAUCCAUGUGGCAUGGCAUCUCGGCCUGCCUCUUGCCCCUUUGUAUAAAAGGAUCCUCCUCUCUCUCUCUCUCUCUCUCUCUCCCAACGCAAUCCGCCCUCUUCUUGCUUGUGCCCCGUGCAGAGAGAGUUCUUCCCUGGGGCUUUCUUCCAUUUCUUCCCAUGGCCGUGCAAGCGCGUUACGCUGCCGGGUGCUUCCCCCGCGUCGUUGAUGCGGGUUACGAUGUCGACGCCGCGUUCCUGUCCGCGGUGGCGAACAACAACAACGGCUACAACCACUGCGCCGCAGCCAUGGCCAGCGGCGGCGCGCAGAGCGAGCUGACGUGCCACAACGGCGCCGGCAACGGCGUGGCGCGGAAGCGCGGCAGGGGGGAGGUGGAGGAGCAGUACGUGUCGUCGUCGUCCGCCCUGCUGCCGAUCCCUGGCAUGGUCAAGGCCGUGGCGCCUGCGCCCGCCAUGGCGUUCCGGUCGGCGGAGUCCGCGAUGACAUCAACCAGCGGCCGCCGCCCGGCUUCGGCCGCAUCGUCGUUCGCCACGGACGAGCUCGUGUCGGAGCUGUUGCGGCAGAACGCGGAGAUCGACGCGACGGUGCGUGCGGAGCUGGAGCGGAUGCGCGCCGGGCUGGAGCAGGCGCGGAAGCGGCAGUGCCUGUCGCUGGUGCGCGCGGCGUCCGCGUCCGCGGCGCGGCGGCUGAGGGAGAAGGAAGCCGAGCUAGAGGCCGCCCGCCGGCGCGCCGCGGAGCUGGAGUCGUGCCUUCGGCAGGCGGCCGCCGAGAGCCAGGCGUGGUGCGGCCUCGCGCGCAGCAACGAGGCCGUCGCGGCCGGGCUCCGUUCGACGCUCGACCACCUGCUCCUCCGCGGCGCCGCCGCCCCGGCCCCCGCCGAGGGCUUCGGCGAAUCGGACUUCAACUCCCCCGCCGGAGCCGAGGACGACGCUCAGUCCUGCUGCUUCGCGGCGCCCAAGGAGGACGCUGGCGUCUGCUCCAAGUGGGCGUGCAAGUCGUGCGGCCAGGGCGAGGCGUCGGUGCUUCUGCUCCCUUGCCGGCACCUCUGCCUUUGCAAGGCGUGCGAGCCCAGGCUGGACGCCUGCCCUGUCUGCCUCGCCACCAAGAACGCCUCCGUCCACAUCGCCAUGGACUGAUCGGAUCAGUCCCCACCCUUCGCCAAGUGCAAUGUCACAUGGCGUUUUUUUUAUCCGUCGCCCCCCCUGAUAAAUUAGCCAAUUAGGUUUAGACUAAUCGGUCGUGUUCGUUUCGUUGUUUCCGGGAGAACAGGUAGGGAUGUAGUAGGACAUGGUAAUUUCCACUGGCGUUUUGGUAAAAUUAUCGCUCAGUGGAACAUUAGUGCGAUCUCUCACCCCUGUCCUCUUUUUGGUUUGGGUAAGUAAAGGAACAGAGACAGUAGACUUCUCAAUGCAAAAGAUAUUCAGCUUUUGGUUCUUUUUUGUUUACUCGCACAAAAUAUGUUCAUUGCUUCCCGACUUCACGUGCUCUGUUCUCUGCGUUGCUGUUGCUUGAGACGAUUAAAGUUUCACAUGCUCUGGGUUAUAGUGUCUCAUCCGGGAGCCAUUUCGUUUCCUUGUGACGUUUCAAGAAAAUGGACUCUUAAGUUACAAGAAAAUGAAAAUGGACUCUUAAGUUACUCCCCAUUAUAACACCAUGACCAGCCUGAUGGGUAAACGUUGAACGGGUGUACGGAGGUGGGGCGAGUUUACCCGCAUUAACAACAGUUGUACCGUUUCCAAGACAUAUUCAAUAUCAAAACGGACCGUCUGAGACGCAGAGACAGAUAAAGAUCCACAUGAAUGCAAAAGCAGCAGCAGUAGUUUAUGCCAGGUCCCAGGGGUAGAUGUGAUUGCAGGGUAAUCUGAAAGGUACCAGUCCUCCCACUGUAGAUAGGUGGGCAAUGCCGCAAUGUCAAUGGACCAGUGGUGGUUACUGUCUCAGCUGCUGCUGCACCGCAUUGGAUGGAUGUUCUUUGCAGAUGCCACUGCCAUGAUGCGUUGCUCCCCCUGCUUUUCUGCCUGCAACCCCUCCGACCCCCAUCAGCAUCAGCGCCCUUGUUAAAUGGGAGCAGUGCUGCAAUUUCUCUGAUGCUGCUGUACUGCUGCCUGCCUUUGUCUGUUGUGUCACGCUGGCCAGCCAGCCAAACUGGACCAGCAGUAAAUUAGUCACAGCAGCAGCAGCAGUGCCAGUGUGCAUAUAAUGUGCUAGUGGUCGCGAUCGGGUCGAGAUCUUUGCAACUUUUGAGGGGCUGGUGGUGCUAGCCGUGCCGGUGUGCAUCGUAUUCGUCCUUGGGCUUUGGUUGCCUGUCGGUGCAUCAUGCAUUCCCCUGUCCGUCCGUGGCUGUCUGUCAGGGGCCAGAGAAAGAAGUCGUGUCGUGUCGCUUUGGUUGAUAGGUUCAGGUCAUUGUGCAAACCUCUCUUUUUCUGUUGAUAGCCGGUGCUCCUUUAAUUCCUCCUUUCUAGUACUCCGUACUACUGGUAUCGAUGCUCUGCUUUACCAUGGAUUGUGAGAGAGGGAACACCGAACAAAUUGAUGUUUUUUCAUGAGCUGCGAAGCUGACGAGGAACGAUCCGGACACGGUGGCAUAGCCAGGGCCGUGAAGGAUAUUUUGAACCAAAGCUUUACGCAUGUGGCCGGCCGGUGGUUGCUAAUUCUUCCUUGAUUAGUUCCACAACCACGGUUGCAUGUGCAAUGGGGUCCUUUCCUUUCUGUUACUGUACCAUUUUUAAUGGAGUACACGCACCACCAUACUUCGGAUACCCACUGCCAUUACAUUUAUAUAAAUACAGUACGCACCUGUAUAUACUUAGAUUACAAAACUAGUUACGUCGGCACUCACCCUGCAGUACUCCCUUAUUUCAUUAUCAGCACGCAGUUUGAAGAAGCAAGGGAUCAAUGAUAGUAUGGUACAACAGGACAUUGAUCCCACUAGCUAUCUAGCUAGCUUGAAAAGCUAAAGGCAAAAGGUGCUCUCCGUACUAAAUUGGCUUGAUUAAGCCAGUAGGAGAUCAACAAUUACUACUUUUGGUUGCGGCACCUUUCCUCGUUUUUCUUCCUCCUCUUUUGUUCAUGCAAGUGAUGAUCGAUGAGAGGUCACUGACUCACUGGCAUGCAUGCUCGCUUCUUCUUCUAACCCUUUCGAGGAAAUUAAAUGGAGUAGCAGGGUUCACGAUGGAGGAUCAUGAUCGAUACUCUGUUUUAUGCUAAUCACGCAUUCGUAAACUAUUCUACGUUUAGUACAGAGUGUGACAUUUUAUUCCCUCCAUUCCAGUAGCGUAUCCAGCCCGUUGGGCCAGGUGCUACACGGGAUUGGCUUUUGACGGGCCCAUGGAACCCUUGACACGAGAUGGGCCUAGUGUUUCGAUGGGGUGGGCUGAGUGCCCGGCCCAUCUAAGGAAGGCAUGUUCGCUAAUUAGUUCCAACAAUCGUCUUUGGCUUUUAGAUGUUCCAGAUAUUGCUUGUAUUCCUCUACGGGCAAGAGUUGAAUAAAGUUGGUUUACCCCCUCAAAAUUUUUAACUCUUAGCGAUUUUCACAAGCGCAUUGCAAUGACAUAUUUAAGGAUGCCUAAUUACCUAUUCGUAAUCCUACGAUGAUCCUAGAGGCAUCGAGCACCAUCACGAAAAACUCCUCCACAGUAGAUGGAGCAUAUCUCAACGGUUCCUUGCAUGUCCUGGCAACCCCACAACGCUUAGGGGAUGUUAUGGCCUUGACGCUCCGGUCUCUGGCUGGUCCAAUGACGCUAGAGACGAAACGACGGUUACUCUCAUGGUCGAGUGUGCUCUGCGGCGGCUCACCGGCCAUGGCCAACGCCGAGUUGUCACUCCCCAAGCGCAUCGUCCUAUCUGUGGCUCGAUCUCCAACUCGCUCGCCGCGCUCGCAUCCUCAACAUCUCCAGUAAUUCUUUUGUGGCAUCCUCCCUAUCGAGGUGCAGGUGGGCCCGCAAUACUUCUUGUUGAAGGUAUAAUGAUUACCCCUCUUCCCCCACCAGUUUGACCUUUUGGAUGUACAUUUCGGUUAAUGAAACUCAUCGUGCUAUCAAUGUCGAGAGUUCUCGACUUCGAGAUCCGACUGACGCAAGUAAAUUGUAACUCACUUUCUGUCCGCAUUUAGACCUGUGAGAGACACGUGAGAUGGGAUGUUGAAAUUUAAGUGAAGCCUUAUGUUGCUCCAUGAGCUUGAGUUUAUGGGUGAACUGGUUUGGUGCAUGAAAUUCUUACUUCUAACUUCGGCCGUUCCUAUCGUCUCUAUCACCAGCAACCUUGGGUGGAGGUGGAACCUCUCCGGUGUACACCUUUGUUGGCGUUGUGUGCUUGGACUUCUUUGACGUGCUGGUCCGUGACCAGCUGGCGUCCUCUUCUCAGUCUCUGGGAUGGCGGUCUCCACGGAUUUGUCAUCUCCACUGAAGUUGCGACGACGAGUGGCAUCCUUGAAAUAGGCAUGAGCUUCUUUUUUCCCUUUUAAAUCAGAGUUCACAUGUUUCGUGUCCAUCGUUUGUGUUUGAGUAAAACACACUGUUAGUCAUCUAACUUGUGUUGACGGUUCAAUCUAGUCCUCAUACUCUCAAAACGCUCAUCUAGGUCACUAAACUUUAAAAUACGGUGCAAUAUGAUCCUAUACGAUGGAGACGUACGUAUUUUGCUGAUGUGGCAUGUAUCUGACGUACAUGACCCACUAGCUGACAUGCCGUAAAUCACAAUAACCCCCCUAACACCCCCACCCACACAAACCCAUCAUCUUCAUCCUUCAGCUCCGCCUCUUUGCUCUUUUCUUGACUGCGGCAGAGCGGAGCGGAGCGAACAUCGUGAAUGCCUGCACGACGCGUGCUGCAGCCACACGAUGUCGCUUCUGGCGUCAAGCACCAUGGGUGACAGCAUGGCAGGGUUCCCAACCCUGUGGACCGGUGGCCGAGCUCCGUGCCGCUCUCUUCCCUCCUGCUACAGCUGCUGCAGCCGUCGGUGAGGGACUCGGCGAAGAACAGGCGUCGCAGCCCUUCCUCUCCGAUGCCGACGACAGUGCAUACGAAGGACACGUGGAGCGGGAGGACGCCGUGUACUGCUGCGGCCUCCGCACGGACAGGCCGGCAGGAUUGCAUCUCGACGUCGGUCACGAUGAGAGCCAUUCUCUCCAUCCCCAAGCUCGCCUCGUCGGCUUCCCAAUUCCUUGGCCGCCGUCAGGGCCCCAUCGUCGAUUCUCCUCCGCCACCUUCAUGCUGACUCCACAGUCCACACCACCUCCUUCUCAAGUGCCACAAGCCACACUCCUUCACCUCACGCAUCCUCCAAUCCGAAGAGAACUUGAGGCUGAGCACUGGUAUGCGGCAGGAUUAGCUCACUUCCGACCCCGUCCUCGACGAAUUCCUCGCCCGCUCGGUCACCGCGCUCCGUCCAACUCCUGCCGCUGCUUUCCACACCCACACCCGCCAUGUGCUCGAUGAGGCAGAACACGACCUGCAGCUGCAGACGAAGAUGGUACUGUCCACCGAGCCGCUGAACAGGAGCGCCUCGGGCGCCGUGAGGCAGAACACGACCUUCUUGUGGCCCUUCAGCACGCCGCCGUGGACGAGGUGGAGGUCGCCCUGCCAACAGUUGAUGAGCAGUCCGACGAGCCGCAGUAGAGCACGGGCGGCAGUGUGCCACGAGUCCAUGAUGCUCAUGCCAACGCGUUCACCGCGUGCUCCGGCUGUCAGAACCAUCACUAAUGUAUGCUGUUUGAUGGUCCCACGUGUCAGAUACGUGCCACAUCAUCAAAAUACGUAUGUCUCCGUCGUAUAGGACCGUAUUGCACCGUAUUUUAAAGUUUGGUGAUGUAGAUGAGCGUUUUGAGAAUACUGAGGACGAGAUUGAACUGCCAACACAAGUUAGAUGACUAACGGUGCAUUUUACUCUUGGAGUUUUGUGUCUCCGCCAGUCCGCCUACACUUACUGAUGGAAACAAUGUCAGUCAGGACUUGUUUGACACGGGUGGAUUUUACGGGAUUUUGAGGACAGUCCGAAAGUUUUAAUUGGAAAAUUAGUGAACUAACAGUCCCUAAAAUUCCCUCGAAAGCGAGCCACCUGUCCUAAAUAAUGCCUUAGUGGACAGUGGUGUUGAGCUUACGCUGGUGGGCAGAAGAGUCCUCUGAUGUACUCAGUUUGACCAGUUCUUCCACCCUCACGUAACAGCUAGCUGAUCGAGAUGUCUGCAGUUCUGCAUUGUUUGUCGAUAAUAAAACGACGCGCGCAGUGAUCAGUUUUAUUUUUAUUUUUGAGCGGGAUGAUCGAUCACUGCAGUACGUUGACCCUCAGCCGAACCUUUCAAUAUGGUCGACCUGAUCAAUUGUUGAUCAGUCCUCGCCUCUAGCUGCUGUCCACGCCUGCUGUUUAAGUCUUCUUUUCCAAUUAAAAAGUGGCCUAAUACGUCGUACCACUAGUGCAGCUUCGCUUUAAUCAUUGUUGGGGCACUACCAGGAAUGCAUCCGAUCUAGCAGCGCAUUAUUACGGUGAGUAGUUAACACCACGCACGAUUGCCGCCACCCGCCCUGCAGGCCGGCACUCCUCACCUGAUCAUUUUGCCUCCCCGGAAUGCAAUUCUUUACUUGUCGCUAGCGACCUGAUCUACUCAAUCUCCAUCGAUCCAUGAGAUAUUGAGAUGGGAUUCAUGAGUAUGCACUGAUAUGCAUAUUUUUAAUUUAUCUUGAUACCUAUCAACCUAUGCGAGUUUUGAGUUAAAAGGUCAUGGCAUGCUAGCUAGCUUGCACUCGUCGACCGACCGGCCUCUUUUGAGACGAAUCAAAAUGCUGCUGCGUUCGUAGUCACGGAUGCCGAUCAGAUGCCGUCUGCCUCUCUUUUAUAUCGUGGGACCGACGAUCAAUUGAAUGUGUGCACGCAAUUCCGUUAAUUAGGCCACGCCCGAGCCGGCCACUUGCUGGAGACCGAGACAAUCCUUGUCUGACAAGGAUCUAAAGUUGCAUGCCGCGUACGUUGUCCUUGGGCAUGGCAAAGAUGAGAUGCUCACCCGCAAUCACACGGAAGACAGUAGUCAACACUCGUACAGUCCUUCGCACAAAGACACGGCCUAGGAAAAGCAAAGAAACUGGCCAAACAGCUGCUAUGGUACGUGGUGUCACAGGUCAUAACUCAUAACGUCUUCGCGUCUAUUCCCUUUGAAAUCCGUUUCGCUAAUGUGUAUUCGGCUGUUCGCCCUUCUCUUUAAUGUUUUUGUUUCGUAGUACUGCUACUGCUCCGUAUUAUUAUUGGGCUGGCUGAAACAAGCCUAACCUUCUGCCUACGUCUGGGAAUGUUCGAGGCCAGAGUUUUUUUUUUUCUUCAGACGUCGAAGUCAGAGUUCAUGUGGAAGGCGUGUGCUAGAAUAAUUAGCUCUUCAGAUUACUCAUCGGGCUUGAAGGAUGGCUGUGUUUGUGCAAGACGCGAUCUUCACCGUGAUUUUUUUACUUUGGCUUGGUAGGAUGGUUGUGUUUGUGAAACAGUGGUUGUAUCUAAGAGAACAUGCUAGUUCUACGGAAAAAAAGAUUGACUAGUGACUACUCCAUCCGAUUCUAAAUUGUUGUCGAAAUAUUUACAUGUAUCUAGACGUUUUUUAAGAAUAGAUACAUCCAUACUUGGGCAAAUUUGAGUCAAGAAUUUAGAAUCAGAGUGCGAGGAUAACCAAAUAUAACAGUACGUAUGAUCGAUAAGAAGACAACAACGUGAUUUUAACUAUUUCAAAACUCUUUUUGCGAACGCUAUAUAACUCCGUGUGCAGGUGUGUUUACAAACUUUUUUUACGGGAACCUCUGGAUUUAUUUUAGGACCUAACCGGCGUUGUGCUUUCAGUGGGAGUGACGUACUCGUCAACUACGAGGCGCAUGUCGUGACUUCGUCAAUCUCAAGAUGAUGUGCCGGACCAGUCUAUCGGAAGUGCUUAUAGAGGUAGAUUGUGCGUGCGUGCGUUCAUAGGGAAGAGUGUGUGUGCGUGCUUGUGAGCGUCGGCGUCUGUACUGUGUUUACUCAAAAAGAAAAAACUUGUGUGUGGUGUCUUUAAAGAAUUUAUAUGCAACAUUUAUAUAUUUUAAAAAAAAACGGUUUUGCUAUUGACAAGCUGAUUUUAGUUACCAUCGCUUGGUCGUUGGAUUUUUUAAUCAAAUACAGGAGAUUUAAAGUUAUUUGUUUGAAAAUAGGGCGAUUGAGAAAUAACCACACCUAAAGAAAAAGUCCAUCACGGUAACGGGGGAUCAAUUGUCAUCCGACAUACAAUUAAUGGCCCACCAAAGGUUGCCGGAACUAUAAACCCAGAGAAACACACUUUUCUCACGCCGGCCCACGAGGCCACGACUCACAUGCGCAGACGAACAGAAAUAAGACGAAGUAGUUGUGGCCCGGCCGGGGCCAGAAUUCAGUGCACCGAUGGCGACCCAACUAGUAGCAUCCGUGGCCCGUGCAGCCCGUGCGAAAGAUCUACUACGACUCAUUCAUUGCUGCUGCAUUUGCACCAUGAUCGCCACGAGGGUAGGAUACGACGUAUAUGAAGCCUCACACGUAACCCGUGGUCGAGCUUAAGCAAGCUAUGUAAUGUAGGGUCUCACCAUCAUGGAUCUAUGGGAAGGAACUGACCGGCCAGCCACCAAUUAUCCGACUUAUCCAAAUGGGCACCGUGCAGUCCUGUCUCAUCAUCAACUUGUCAAUCCCAACUGUAUGCGGGGCAUCAACCUACAGUCGUACACAGUGUAUAUGUACCGUGCAUCUCCCCGUCGCAGAAGACAGCACGAUUACCUUGACAUGAGCCAAAAGCAAAGCAGGACAGGAAACUAGAGGCUCAACGGAGGUGGCUGCCCGCCACACGAAGGAAACGUCCGAUGAUGGGUCACAAUCUUGCACAUCGCUUACAAGCCAGCCAAUUUAGAGGCCGGAGGAAGGAGGCCGACCAACUGGUGAUCGUCAAUUUUCGAACGUCGAUCUAUCAAAAUGCUCAAUGUUGUGUCAUGCGGACAUCCGUGGAAAAACAGUGAACGUGCCGUAACUCUCGGACAAGGUGUACUAGCUAGCUAGCUAGCCCACGUGAUGCAGCAGCAGCAGCCUGUAAAAUGCUGUGCUCGACAAAGCAGCAGUGGAGUUAGUGCGAGGCUUAUUGCUUUCCUCCCCUUUCUGUCCCGUCAACUGCACACGCCCUGCCGCUGCUUGCACCAUAUAUCGACCCUGCGUUCCCACCAGGCAUGCUUUGCUGCCGUUAUCGGUACAGUAGCAUGUGUAAGCUGCUGUAACACGCAUGCUACUUUAGCAUAAUAGCAGCAGCAAGUGUGUCAUCCGUAUAGUACCUGUCGUGGCACGCAUGCAUGCACGGCCACAGAUUUUGCGACGAGCCAUCAAGAAACAAACCAGGGCCCAGGGGACAGUCAAGUAUAUGAACCAAAUUGGACAAAGAAUCGAUACAUGCAUUGAUUAGAUACGGUAAAGACCACAAGUUAAGUUUGAAAAAGCGUGAAUUCGGACUUCUUACCCCGUAGUUUUCUCUGACACAAUCUAUCCAAUUUUAAAGAAAUCUACUACAAUAUAUAAAGUUACCACGUCUAUUAUUUUUUCUUUAUUUCCCCAAAUUAGGAUACGUUGGUCCCGCAAGUCAGGUCUACGUCUUCUCCAUCGAAUCCCAGUGACCAAGGCGCCUGCGUGUGAAUGAAUCGACCGAUCGAUCUUCUCUCGCUCCGGAAACGGUGGUCGACCUGUUAUGUCUUGACGAUGGAUCUGGAGUCUGGACGUACUUUCCUAUCAACCUUGAUUCAAUUCCUGAAGAUCUGUUGCAAGAUUGGUUCAAUUCUUGAAGAUCAAUCUGCUGCAAUAUCAUAGCUCGCCAUGCUUUGCUGCUCACCAUGCCUGUGAUACAUGCAGUAUCUGAACGGGUAGCAGCGUUUGACAAAAUGCUACUCACUCCGAUCCAUAUUAGUUGUCGAAAUAUAACAUGUAUCAACGUUUUUAGACAAAUUUAAGACAAUUAGUAUGGAUCGAAGGGAGUACAACGCGUGCAGCCACGUACGAGCAGGGGCGGAGGCAGAAAGAAAACAUAAGGAGGGCCAGAAUAGAAGAAAUGAUUUAUUGAAUAGAAAAAAUGUAAAAUCACUAGAUGGAAUAAUUUGUGUCACAGAAAAAAGAGAUAAUUAAUUGUGUCAAAAGUUUGGUUAAAUAAGAUAAUUGUGUCAAAAGUUUUUGUUUAAAUGGGAUAGCUUUAUAGAAGCUCUGUUAAAUGGGGUAGAUUCUGUCAAAAAAUUGAAACUAGAGAGUAAAAAAAACUGUAAUUCAAAAAACGAAAGAAAGAUUACAAGGUAUGUUGAAUCCAAGUGGUAGUCUACGCCGGCUUGUAAAAAGGCAAGACUGUGUAAACGGUCUGCAAGAGGGUGGCGACGAGCAGGACAAUGGCGGCGACGAGGGAGAUGAACACCCAGGGGUUCCUUAGGUACCUCUGGAAAAAAUUCGCCCGCCACCGAUUCCACCUCAUCCCGCAGUGAGCCUUGACCUGCCGCUGCACGUCAUGGAGCCUACUAGACGGGCUCAUCACCCCUCCUUUAUUCAACGUGUUAUUCAGCAGCUUGGCCACCUCCUCGUCGCUGCCCAGGCCACACUCGAUGAUGUUCUUGGACCUGAGCAGUGCCACGUCCUUGGCGGAGCUGAUGAUGUUGUCCAUGAAGAUCACGUACGCCGUCACGUCGUUGCCGGCGCCCGGGUGGAGCCGCUCGAACGCCAUCAGGUUGAGGAACUUCUUCUCCGUCCUGUCGUCGACACGGAUCGCCGGCAUGCUCAGCACGCCGCGCUCGAAGCUGACGCCCAGGAGGCUGUCGGUGUCGCUCACCUUGAAGUGGAUCCCGGCCUCGUAGAUCUCCAUCGCCGAGGGCAUUACGUACGCCGUCGACCCCGUGCGGUCGUGGUGGUCGCCGUGGGUGAGGCUCGUGUGCAGGAUGUCCAGCGGGUGGAGCCCCAGGUGGUUGAUGGCGACCAGGUGCCGCCGCCAUGGGCAGAGAGAAUCAAGGACCAGCCUAGUCACUCCUGAAGCGUUCUAUAGCAAUCACUAGACAGGAGUUAGAUACAGUAACAUGUAUGCCUUGAUCUGCAAUAUAAAUGUACGUGUCAUAUAGUUGCAUUUGUCAGACGAGUUGAACAUUUUUAAUGUUGAAGGGGUUGAUGAGUAUGGUUUUUACCCACCAUGCAUGAGGACAUCGAUCGAUGGAUGUGUAAAUUUUGAACUUAGAGUAAACAUGGGUGUGCCACAUGCUUAAGUUCCAUCGAGCUUCUGGUUUUGAAGAUAUUCUAAAAUUCCAUCGACUGGUAUAUCAAGUGGUACUCCCUCAUCCUAGAUUCUUGACUCAAAUUUGUCCAAAUAUGAAUGUAUAUAUUCUUAAAAAGUGUCACAUGUAAUAUUUCGACAAUAAUUUGGAAUCAGAACGAGUAUCAUUUUUUCAGAAGCCAGAAGUUUGGACCUUUUCCACCAUACUAGUAGUAAUUAUCUGAGCAGACGAUAAACAAAGUGGAGUAUACCAGAGGGCCAGGUCAUGCUCCAUAAUGUAAUUUUGUCAACACCCAUCUGAGUGGUAUUUUUUGUUUUGGUUUUGACAGCACAUCUGAGUGAUCAAAAUGGACAAAAUCGAAGUGGAGUAGACGAGAGUACCGGGUCACACUCCAUGUAAUUUUGUCUACAACAACUGAGUGGUCUAUUUUUUUAAUAUUUUGACAGCACAUCGAUCUGAAUGCUCAGAAUGGACAAAAUCAAAGUGGAGUAUACGAGAGUGCCGUGCCAGGUCAUACUCCAUAAUGUAAUUUUGUCCACAACAUUUGAGUGGCCGUUCUUUUGACAGCACAUCUGAGGGGUCAAAAUGGACAAAAUUGCAGAUGAACAAUAGAAACUCCAGGAAAGACAAAUACACAACAGGAAAAGGAAACAGCUUAUAGAACCGACCAUCCUAGUAAGCUCCCUAGCAAGAUAUUGAUUUCAUUUCCUAACAAAACAAUGAUGAAUAUAUAUGAUACUCCCUCCGAUCCAUAAAAAGGUCGCCCACCGAUCGGAGGAGUACUAAUUUGCUAAUUAUGAUGAAUUUCAUCAAAAUGUGAUGUCAGAAAAUAAAAUCGCCUUCAUGAUUGAGGACUAGCAAAAUUUUGACCCCUUUUCAAAUAAAAAAGAGCAGUUUCAAUCCUAUUUUAUACACAGUAUAUUCCAUUGAUUAUUCUUGACGACGUGAUAAUGCGCGUAUUUCGGGUUGUCUAUUUCCAUUUCUUCUCUCUCAGCAAAAGACGAAAAUCAAAUUGCGCUCCCAGAUAAGACAUCUCUUUCCCACAUAAGUUCGGCCCCCCUCGCGCCCUCGCCGCCAAUCUCCAUGUCUUUAUCUGUCGUAUUCUAGAAGGAAACGCGGUACAGUCAGCAUGCAUGCCUUUUAGACUUGCAGUGGCCGGCCUGUGACUGUGAGCCUGUGACAUUACGCAGAGAAUAAUCAAAUCAGCUGAACCCCAGCAACGACCAAUCCCAACAAUCGCAUCGAACUAAACCGCUAAAUCCAACCAAAACGGCAAAACGUGGUUGGUUAGUUUCAACCCCCUACGGAUAAAAGUAGCGUUAAACAAUCAAAUCGUAAUCGAUCAAUUGAUUAAGUCAUCUUUCCCGCAAAAAUAAAAUUAAUCAAGUCAUCAUCACGAGUUUACUUAAAUCGUUGUAAAUCAGUAAAAAAUAAAACUGGUGGGGGCAGGUGUGAAGAGGCGGCAGAAGGGGCCAGGGGGAACGGGAAAGAGAACCAAUUGCAAACGAAAAUGAAUAGACGUGUACAGUACGCAUAUACUAGGAGGGAGAGCACGUACAGUACCUGAUAUCUGUCGUGAUCCAGAACGACGAGCAGCCGCUGGAGGAGGAGGAGCGGCAGCUGGUUCUCCACGACGACCAUGUCGGACUGGAUGUAGUUCCAGAGGUAGAGGUAGCCGUACUUGCUAAACACAGGAUCAUUGGGCGCGUAAUCCCCUUCCACUUUGCCCCUCAGCGCGUCCAUCCGCAUGGCCUCCACCAGGAAGCACCCGUCGGUGACCAUCAGCUCCACGAACCGCUCCCUCUUCUCCCCGGCGCCGCGCCACUCUCCCGCAAGGUCCUUGUACGCCUCCUGCAGCUGGGGAGCCACCUCGGCCACGGCGCAGAUGAAGUCCCGCAGAGGUUUACCCGAGCGUUUGACGAGGUGCACCACGGCCCGGCGCUUGUGUUCUUCCAUGGGGAGAAGCUCCGGGUCGCCGUGGUGGAACGGGCCCAGGGAGACGAGCUCGGGUUGGUAGGCUUUGCUGUUGUGGAGGUUCUUGAUCCGCUCCGGGACGCGGUAGAUGGAGUGCCGCUUCCAGCGCGCCAUCUCCACGGCUGGCUCGCUGUUCAUGUCGCCGAUCUUCUUCUCCAUCUCUACUACCCAGCUGCUGCUGUUGCUGCGGCUGCAGACCCGUGAUGAGUCGUCGUCGGCUGCCGCUGCCGCUGCCGGCGACAACCCCUCUUCCUCCUCCAUCAGUGGGUGGUACUCCACUGACCUCUGGCUCAUACUCCGACUGCUCGUCAAGCUCGCCUCCCCCAUUGGGUUAUCUGAUUGCUUGCCCGCUAAGCUCGGGUCGGUGUGGUUUGCUAGUAGUAGUGCAUGUCCGGCCGGCUUGGGAAUGGAAUACUCGAUCGGUUCAGGUUAACGGGCUAGCUCCCGAUUAAAAGGUGUGUGUAUGUAGUACGCGACGGGGCCGGGCCGGCAGGCAGCAGGCAAGUUGCACGUACGGAAAACACUGUGCAAGGGCCAGUGGUGGCCGGAUGGAGACGUGAUGGUGCCCACGCUGAUGGAGACGUUACUGGUUAGCUUGGCUGAGGGCCUCUUAUUUCCGUCAAGAACGGGGGGCUCCACAACCUGUCGCUUUCUGCCUUAACCUAGUGUGCAAACCAUAUAUGGUAUCGGGCCUACCGGCCGGCGGGAAAAAGCAAACCCGCCUGCAUGUUCCCUGCUUGACGAGCGCUGCACCGAGACCCCUUAUUAUAGCUAGGAGUAGGCGAGUAGUAGAGUGGCUGACUGUUUGCUGCAUGAAAAGAAGUUUUUUUUUUCUUUUGAGGAUGAGGAUAGCAUGAAAAGAAGUCUGCACUGUAGGAGGGCAUCCUUUGAGCUCUUUCCUCUCGACCAAUUCUCUUAUCACCUGCUCCCAUUUGUCUCUUGCCUGAGCACUCACUCUAUCUUCCCGUCAUCCCGCGCGUACGCUGUCCCUGUCUGUCUGUCUGGUGGGCAUCCGAGGCGCGGGAGAGGAUGCAGUGGGACGGCGAGGCGAUGGGGCUUUGGGCAUUUUAUCCGUCGGUGGCUGGCUCCACCGCGCCGCAUCCGUAUGCACCUUUCUGCAUUAAUAAAUCCGUCAGCCGGACGCUGGACCAGAAAUUCAGGAAAAACGUCCAGGAAUGUGAAGAUCCGCCCGCCGUAUGCACCUUUCUGCGUUAUGCCCGAGGUCCAUGGCGUCCCGUGGCUUCGAGUUGCUGCAUCCGCCGGACCGGUAGUAGUUCGGCCGCUAGCGCCGCCGGGCGUGGACUGGCGCCAGGGAGCGCUAAUCGAUUCCCCCACGCGAGAUUCGACAGGCCGUACGUAGUUGACGCCAGUGGCCGCUGAUGAGCACGGCGGCCACGAGAUCGGCCGUCCGCGUGCUUGACGAAGCGCCAGCGCGCAGCCAUGGCUGGGCGCGACGAGCACGACCGGUCGGCCAAGACAUGGUUGCGAGAUGAGGCGCGUGAGGCCUUCGAAGCAUAGUUUUAAAUAGUGGGCUCACAGAGCCAUUUAGUGGCGGCCUGUUCCGGAAGUCAUGGGCCAGUUUUUUGUGGCUUCUAAACCAACUUCUAAGUGCACAACAAUUCAAGCCGUUCCAUACGGCUUGUUAUGGAAAUGCUCGAAAGAAAAAUAAACUUUGAUUCAAAGCUAUAGAAAUAAAGAUCUAAGUUGAUGAAAUAAAAAAUGCAGUCCAUGUCGAAGUAGUUAAGUGUUACUUUUUCUGUUUUUUUUAUGUAAGACAUAUAAAAUUAUCUUUGUGUUUUUGGAAGUAAGACGCACCCGAGGACACCGUUGCAAGCCAGUAGAAAAAUCAGCAACUGGCCGUUGCAUCAUUGGAGAAAAAAAUCGGCAGUUUCCUUUUGUGCAUGUAGCGGGCAGUUCUCUCUCUUGGAUGACAUCGUGCGAAAUCACAUGUGAUGUAUAACAUUGGCAAGUGCUUAGUGAAACAUUGAUAUGUAUAUUUUGGGUAAUAUGGAUAUUUAUGUGAUGAUAUGUAUCUUAUUUAAACUUAGUGCUUUACUAAUGGUGUGUUGAUCCAUUAGUUUCUUAUGUGAAAACAUGGCGUGAGUUGUGUGAAACUUACCCUGAGUCAAGUCGUGGAUUUGUGUUCGUACUGGUUAUUUGUGUGUUCGCUUUCAGGUGUUGCCGGAGCUAGAGGAACGUGGUCGAUGACGGGAUCGAGAGACGAAACUUGGGAGAAGCUGAGGUCGAGGAUCAAGGUCAUGCGGAACGUUCAUGCGAAGGAACAAUGAAAGUGAAGGUUACGAUGAUCCGAAAGGGCACCGGUUUGUCGUACGUUGUUAUACCGGAGAUGUACAGUAUUGGAGAUAUUCGACACGUGAUGGUCGAGUUUUGAAGACAUCACAAAAAGAGUUGAUGGCAUGGAGUGGCAUCAACGUGAAGACAUGUAGAUCCAGUCGUGGCUGGAUGAGAGCUGUUUAAAGAUUAAACAGUAGCAUCAUCAAGAUGGCGUCCGAUGGAAAGUGGUCCACAUGAAAGUUGUGCGCGCCAUCGAGACGAACAACUUUGCUUUUGGAGUCAUCUCAAUCCGAGGUCGUAUGCGGGCCUCGCGGGCAGAAUACCGACCAGGACAGAGGAGUUCGUGUUGGAUUCGAACUUGGUUUAGGGUCGCGAAUUUUCCUUUAUAAAUAGAGGGCGUCCUAGUUAGAGUUUUAGAAAGGAAACGAGAGAACUCAGAGCUUUGGAUCUAGAUAAUUCUUGGAGAGUUCUUAGAUGCAUGGUUGCAUUUUUUUUAAUCGAUCGACAUCAUUGCAAUAAAAAAAUUCGUUGGCGGUGUCAUCUCUGUUUUUCUUGGAUCUUCGUGGAAUCUCCGUGCUAGAUCUUUCUAACACUUUGGUGCAGCUUUCUCACAAGAUCAUAACACGUUGCUGCAGGUUUCUCAUGAGAUCAAGGGAAGAUUGCGAUUAAUUCAUCUUUCUUGUUAUUCCUUAAAAUGUCUUCCCGGGUGCUCACUUCCGACAAUCCCUUAUAGGAAAGCUUCGGGUUUCCAAAAACGUUCUGACAGGCCCACAUGAGGCCGCAGUUCGUUCAUUCCCUCCCUGUAAAGCAGUCACGCUCCCCACUCUCAUUUUGCUCCCGGUACGAUUUGUUAUUGAUGUGCACUGUCAGAAUACAUUGUUGUAAUAAAAAGUGAAAAAUUGAUACUCGUACAAUAUUUACAGUAUCCAUCAGAUUUACAUCCCCAAAAAACCUAGACAAUAUGAACGUUGUUGUUGGCUUCAAAAUAAUUCUGUAAGUCCAAGAAAAUAACGAGAACAAAAUUGCAUCUACUGGUUCGUAUACACAAAGAAAAAUGUUGCCCUUGGAACGGAAAGAAGCUUGUUCUGUCGACGGUUUGACCAAUGAGGAACGCGUUCCAUUAACCAAGAAAUUUGUUCUCUCCAUCCUAGUAAAUGCCUUAUCCAGAGUAACCAAACCCCCCAUCCCAUCCAACCUGUUACCAAAAUAACAAGAAUAGAAAAUUAGAGCAACAACUAGCAGGAAGUAGAACUUGUCCAAAUUGCAACCAUUCAAAACAACACCAAUAGGGAAGAAACUUGGAGUAACUUCAAGAUAAAGUGCAUAAGAUGGAUCGAAUUUGUUUUGUCAUGAACAGGCAUGGAUCUGAGUUUUGGUUCUACCUUAAUUCUUUUUGUUCAAAAUUAGGGUAUACAAGAUGAAGGUUAUGUAGUGGAAAUUAUCGAGCAAUGUACUAAAAAUAUAACAAGCUCACAAUUAUGGCAGAAAAUUACUUUGCAGGGAGAGCAAUAGUACAUGCUACAUGCUUCAUCAUAACUACAUAAGGAACCACAAGCUGAAGCCUAUCGAUUAUGCACACACAAAUAACCCAUGGAUAGCUUUUAACUUUAAUGUGACAUGACUGAGUGCAUACUACCCAGAAAUUUGCUUUGUUGCAAGGGAAAGGAAAACUACAUCCAAGGAGUAACAUAUCUCCGUCCUCCACAACUGGAUCAACCCACUUCACAUUGACAUGUAGGUACCGACAUGUCCCAAGUUUGAGCUGAACCAAAAACGUAACAUAAAAAAACUUCUGAAAAAAGGGAAAAUUCGUACACAACAACCUAAUAUAGUUUAGAGCAGCAUAAAAACUACAUCUACUGCACUCAUGAAAGUAACUCUUAAGAUAAAAAUCUACAUCUACUGAACUCAUGAAAGUAACUCUUAACCGGGAACUACAUCCAGCUGAACCGUAAAGUAACUCUUAACCGGGAACUACAUCCAAUGGAACCGUAAAGUAACUCUUAACCGGGAACUACAUCCAACGGAACCGUAAAGUAAUUCUAGAUCUUCUUACAUCUAGAUCUUCUUCUGCUCGCCAAUGGUGACCGCAACAUCAUCAGCCAUCACAACCAGCAUAGUGUUCAAAAACCCACAAACUGGACAGGUGAAAGAGGCCACGAAAAAGCAACGGGCUAUCGUCUGGCAGGGAGGGCAGACGCUGGCGACAGUGAUGCCGGGUCGAGGAGGCACAUGAGUUCCACCUCCGGCAACGACACCACGUCCUGGGUACGAAGGGUUAGAGGUGGCGAGCGGUCUCACUGUGAAAGGGAAGAAAGUAAGGGUUUGGUGUUGAGGUUACCUUGACCGUGGUGAGGCGGCGCGAGGCGAGAGGAGGCGGAGAGGGAGCUGCAUCUCCGAGACCAUCUUGUUUGCUAUCGUCGUCGCGCGCGGCGAGGAGGUGGAGGAAACCUCGACGCUCGAGGACGAUGGGGAGAGGGGCUGCGGCGGUGCGAGGGGAGCGGCGGCGGCUCACACGGAGGAGGGAGGCGUCGGCGGCCCUGGCGGAGGAGGGAGGCGGCGGCGGUCACCGCGGAGGAGGUAGAUGGCGGCAGCGGCUACGGCGGAGGAGGCUGGGGGCGGUGCGUGUGGCGACGAAGGCUAUGGCGGAGGAGGGAGGCAGCAGCGGGGGGCUUGCGUGGAGGCCCUCGCGGAUGGAGGCUAUCAGGCUGGGGGCGCUGUGUGCAGUGUGCGGCGAGGGGCAUGGGAGGCGAGGGAAGACACGGGAAAGACAUAGAUAAGGGGAGAGCGGUGCGGACCAAAAAAAUAGAAAAAAAACCGACGGAGCACAUGGUUAGUCGGGAGGAGGAAGUAGAGGCGCACGAUUUGAUCAGACGGAGCAAGCCCGUGCGCACCGCGAGAGACCAGAGAGUGCUCAUGCACAAAACAGAUUCACCGUUUAGAUUAAUCCUCGUAACUUUCUUUUAGCUGUUACUGUUUUGAUCAUAUCUUUUGAUUGAUAUGUACGAUUGAGCUGAUUCUUGUUGCGUUGGUUAGAUAAUUUCAACACCUUUCUUUUGCAUACUCAAGCAGGCGGCAAGCUACCAGCCUUGGAGGGCUAGCGGGGCUUCGGGGAAUAUUCCCACCUGGACGCCUCUCGGGAGGUCACUCGCCGGGAGGAGGGGUUCCCGGGCGCAGUCCCACCUGGGCGCCUCUCGGGAAGUCACUUGCCGGGAGGAGGGGUACUCGGGCGCAGGCUCCCACCACGAGGGUGGGGCCGGGCGAGCAGAGCAGCGGCGCCAUGUGGGCGCGCGCCAGGCGCCUAGGGCGCAGUCUCAUCAGGGCGAGGAGUGAAGCGCACGGCGCGCUCGAUAAGCCGACAGGAGGGGCGCUAUCCGUCUUGUCGGACAAACAGUGGUUGUCCAGUCCUAUUCUCUUAGGCCCUAGGCCCCUAGCCGCGGGGUUGGUGCUCAUGCAUGCAUGACAGCGCACCGGGGAGAAGCUGGUCAAGCUUCUUGCUCGCCACUUGUAAUACAUGUACCGUGACGCCUGUGGUAUCCCCUUGGCUAUAAAAGAAAGACCCCCGCCGACGGUCAAAGGGUUCAGCCCCGGUUCGUUCGGUUCAGUUCGAUUAGCUUACAGUUGGCCUGUAGCAUUAGCAGAAAGUAGUAAGGAACACUUAACCAAAGGGAGAGAGUACCUAGAAACUCACCCGACAACCUGUAAACACUUGGUUUUGCGAUAAUACAAGCUCAGGCAAGCAGGACGUAGAGUUUUACACCUCCGGGUGGCCCGAACCUGGGUAAAACGUGCGUGCAAGUGUUUCUAGCUUGCAUGCAUUCUGGGUGCACCCCUUUGCAGGUUACGUACGCCAAUGGGCCACAUCGACGAUCGCCGGAGCGAACCCCGACGCCCCCGCCGAACCUAAAAGGGGGUGUGCCAGACGUCCCCAGUGUCGGAGCCCCGUGCGACGACAUACACGCUUAUUAUUUUUUUUAAAGAAAAAACAAGAAGAGGAGAGAAUGAGGAUUCUUCAAAUUCAGUUUGGAAUUAUCCCGGAACACGAAUUAAAAAGUACAUAUACAACACGCAAACGCAAGAGAACAAAGAAACAAAAGAAAGACGCGUGACGGAGAAGUUGAGGACAAUGGCGACUUCGGCGGCGGCGAGGGACCAGCACCUGGAUGAGCUCCGUGCGCUCAUGGCGGCGCACUCGCCGCCGAUCCAUGCUCUCAUCGUCCCCUCCGAGGACGCCCACCAGGUAAGUUCUCCCCCCUCCCCCGCGGGUCGGAGCCGAUCAGGGUAGAUUAGAUCCGAUCGGGCUCAACUGCGCUGGGUUUAGGGUCUUGUGAUCUCUUCUUGUUUACUGGUUCGUUCCUAUGACUAUUGAUUAAGAAUGGAUUCGCCGAUUUGGUGUGUUCGCGCAGAGCGAGUACGUGUCGGAGCGGGACAAGCGGCGGCAGUUUAUUUCUGGGUUCACUGGGAGCGCUGGUAAGUACGGACUCAAUGCAUGCAUCGUCUGAUCCCUUUGUGACUUGUGAUGAGUUCAGAUCACCAUUGUCUAGUAGCUAGUCAGCACUAAGUUUCCUUGUCUUUGUAUGGUUUUACUUGCGAUGAGUUCAGAUCACCAUUGCCUAGCUAGUCAGUAUUAAGAUUUGCUGCCUUUAUAUGGUUUUAUUAGCUGUUUCGGCAAUUGCAUACUACAGCAAUCGCACGUGGCAACAGUGAGGUUGCUAAAGGUUGCAUAUAUCCUAACACGGCUUGGUUGACAGUUGAUCAAACCCACUGAGUGUCAGCUUCGUGUUGUGUUGUUUCUGUUUGGUUAGCUUUUACACGAUUACAAACUAGGAAUUUGGGGUUCAUAUGGGGUUAUUAAAUUGUAGACUGCUAUUUGACUUGACCCACGGCUGCAGGAAUUGCUACCUUCAUGUAAUCAUGUUAAGUAAUUUUUGAAGCUCUUCUGUUCUUGGACAAAUGUUCAAAGUUGCACUUGAAAUGCUGUGCCAUUUGUGAGGCUGGUUCUUUUCCAUGUCAGUGGUACCUUAACUGUGUCAUUAGUAGGCUUGCGUUCCCUCUCUGGUCUGGCUCUCCUCCUGUGUUUUAUUGUGCAUCACGAAUAUGUUCCAGUGUCCGUCCUAAAUGGACCCAAGCAUGAAAGAACCUCAUUUAUAUCAAAUAAGGGCUAAAUUGUUUUGUAGUCCCUCCGUUCCAUAGUUCUUGUCUCAAAUUUGCCCAAAAUAGAUGUAUCUAUUCCUAAAAAGUGUCUAGAUACAUGUAAUAUUUUGACAAGAAUUAUGGAACGGAGGGAGUAUUAGAUAUUGGUAUGCAGAAAACGUGAGUUCACCAACAUAUGGCGCUGUUAUGUUAAUUUCUUUAUUUUUAUUGUUGUUAGUUGGUUUCUUAGUCAGUGAGUAUCCUGAAUUCCUGUAUAGGGUUGGCUCUUAUCACUACAAAGGAGGCAUUAUUGUGGACGGACGGACGCUACUUCUUGCAGGCCUCACAACAACUCAGCGAUAGCUGGAAACUCAUGCGCAUGGGAGAAGACCCACCAGUUGAAGUCUGGAUAGCUGAUGUAAGUAUUUGCCUCUUUCCUCCUUUCCUGAACGUGCUGUGGAUUCAACCUUCUGAGCUAACGUGUAGAGCUUAUAUAUGAUAAGAAAUCUGUUUUGUUAUGUUGGUUUGAAUUCUGUCACAACUUAGGUGAUUUGAAACCAUCAAUGUCAUUUUUCUUGUUCAUGGUAUCAAGCUUAUCCCCUCAGUAUUUGCUUUUUUAUAAAUAAAAGUUCUCAGCAGUUGUGGGAACACCACAAGCGAACUGUUUCCGCACCCCAGAUUGUCUGAUACACAGUUGCCAGAUUCGCAGUCCGCUCGGUUCGAUGUAUGGGUUUGUGAUUCGUGAUUUGGCACUUUCUAUUAAUCGGAUUUGAUAAGGGGUAUAUAUAUCUCUGAUCCGCGAAUCAUAGGUGGAGUUCGUGAAUCAGUUUGAUACGAUUUGUGAAUCAAAGAUGAAAUACUUCCUUUUUGAUAAAUGUAAGACAAGAGUGCUGGCAUGGCAACAACUAGAUAACAAAAGAUCAAGAGAAACCAACAAAUAAAUGGGCCAACCCAUCUAGUGCUCCAGAAAUAGAUCUGCAUAGGCAAAGGCAAGCCCCCGCCUCUUUCUGCCCUAACACCCUGAAAAGCUGAGACCAAGCCACUGCUCCUCCUCCCAGCAUCAUGACCCUGCUGCCUCUCUGCUGCUUCUGCCUUGUGGCCGGCAGCUGCUCUCAUCUCCAUCAAUGCUGCGUCAGUGCUGCUCCCAUAUCCUCCCUCGUUAAUGGAAACAAAGCUGCUGCUGCAACGGAGGCAGCACUGUCUAGCAGUAACAAGCCAACGACGACGACGACAUGACACUGGCGCUCUGAUGGGUUCGCCUCUGGGUUGUGAAUUGGACAUCGAACCGAGGGCGAUCUUCUGAAUUCGAACCCUGAUCAAGAUCAUGGUUCGAUGACGGUUUGAACGAAUUGGCAAUAAUUGUUUGAUAUUAGUGUGUAUUGAAGUGCUCUGUAAUUGAAGUACUAUUACCUCCGUUCCUAAAUAUAAGAUGUUCUAGCUUUGUCCUAAGUCAAACUUUUUAAACUUUGACCAAGUUUACAGAAAAAUGUACUAAUCUAUAAUAUCAAUUAUCAAAUAAGUAUAUAUAUUAUGGACAUAUAUAUAUGACGAAUUUAGUAAAACUAAUUUAAAGUUGUAUAUGUUGUUAAGUUUUUAAUAAACUCGGUCAAACUUAAGUUUGAUUUAGGACGAAGCUAGAACAUCUUAUAUUCAGGAACGGAGGGAGUACUUGUUAUCUCCUCAAGCCGCAGAACAUAUAGUAUUAUUAAUGCCUUAACUUCAUUGACAUCUCACUGGUAAACUGAGAUUUAGAAGAGCUACUUGAGUUUUCUGUUUUGUGGUGAACAUAUUACCAACUAUCUUGACAGGUCUGAAAUGGUCUGAUAGAUUGAGAUAGUUUGUUUGUCUCUGUUGAGUAUUGCUAUUUGUUAACUUUUGAAUCAUGUCUGCUGUUGUGCUCCCAGAAUCUUUCGGAUGAAGCUGUCAUUGGAAUUGAUCCAUGGUGCAUCUCUGUUGACGCUGCUCAGAGAUACGAACAGUCAUUUUUAAAGAAGCAUCAAACAUUGUUUCAGCUUUCUUCUGACUUGGUUGAUGAAAUAUGGAAGGAUCGUCCUCCGAAUGAUGCUCUUCCUGUAGUUGUGCACCCUGUGGAAUUUGCUGGGCGUAGUGUAGCAGAAAAAAUAAAGGAAUUAAGAGAAAAGUUAGAACAUGAAAAGGCCAAUGGCAUUAUAAUCACUGCUCUUGAUGAGGUACAAUCAACUUGAUCUGCGUCCUGGUUUCACUCACAAUACAAGCUUUUUCAAUAAAUGUGGAUGUGUCGCCGUUUUAAUUCCCUCUUUGCUUUGUAGGUUGCUUGGUUGUACAAUGUUCGUGGAGCUGAUGUGCAUUUCAGCCCCGUGGUUCAUUCUUUUGCUAUUGUAACCCUGCACAAUGCUUUCUUCUAUGUGGAUAAAAGAAAAGUAACAGCUGAGGUCAGUUAACAAACUCUACAUUUCUUUUUCCUUUUUGCAUUGUCCCGUUGCGGUGUUAAUGCUGAUCAUAUUGAAUGGCCUGCAAUGCGACAUACUUGUGCUGAGACUCUUCUUUCGUCCAGGUUCAGAACUACAUGGCUGAAAAUGGUAUUGAUAUCAGAGAGUAUCAUACGGUUCAACCAGAUGUGAGCUUGCUGGCAUCUGGACACCUAAAAGGCUCUGCAGUUAAUGGUAGCUUGCAGGUUGAAAAUGAUAUCAACAAGGUGGAGCAUUCAAAAAUUUGGAUUGAUUCAAAUUCAUGUUGCCUUGCACUCUACUCAAAGCUCAGCACGAAUCAAGUUUUGAUGCUGCAAUCGCCUAUUGCUCUACCAAAGGCUGUCAAGGUAAGUUUUGUUUCUCUGGUACUAUUUUUAUGCCAUAUAGUAUUUCUUUUUCACUCUCGAAUCUAGUAGUGUUGAGAUUGAGAAUGUUUUUGCUUUGUGAUCAAGCAUGGAGCUGGCUAGAUUUGAACCACAACUUGAUAGUUGCAUGUUUCGUUCUUGUGUUGGAUAUUUGAGCACAGUAAUUUCCUGGAGCUCAGGGAGGUAGGAAUGAAAGAGCAAGACUUGCUAACAUUGACUGAAUCACAUGAAUGCUCUAGUUUUAUUUGGCAUCAGGUAUCCCUCUGAUCCUAAAUUCUUGACUCAAAUUUGUCCAAAUAUGGAUGUAUCUAUUCUUAAAAAGCGUCUAGAUACAUGUAAUAUUUCGACAAUAAUUUAGGAUCGGAGGGAGUAUAAUAUAAGGUGUUAAAGUAGUGUCACAAUAAUUCUGUGUCCAGCUAACUGAAGACAUGCUCAUAUAUGUUUUUGUUGAAAACAGAUAUUAUCAUCACAUUAAACAAAUGUUUCAUAUUUGAUCGUAUAGAGGUGUAUACUUUAUUACUUGAGCACAAAGAAAAUACAAUACCUUGCACUAAAGUGUAUGUUCAACAACUUCCCCCCUGUUUGCACUGCAUUUUUGUAAAACCUCAGUGUGCUUUUCACUAGUACUGUUGUGCACGUAGGAUUAACUAUAUGUCCUUGCAAGUUUUAUCAUGUGGCAUUCUAUUUUGCCUAAAUAUUUGAUCUCUUUGUAUUAAUGAUACAGAAUCCGAUGGAGCUGGAUGGUUUAAGGAAGGCACACAUUCGAGAUGGUGCGGCUGUUGUGCAAUACCUGGCUUGGCUGGAUAAUCAGGUCAGUAUACAAAUAUUUCGUACUAUUACAACAGUGUGAGUUAAAACAUCGCAUAAACCUACCGCUUCCCAGGAUCGGACCUCUAGGGUUUUAAACCGCCUCUCCUCGUCGCCAUGUAUGGGAACUCCAGCAAGGGAUCCUUGUGACGCGGUCGCGGCCCUUGCCCCCCUGCCUGUGGUUUCCACCAUCUCGAUAGCCCAGAUCCUCCGUGCAUCCGGCUACUCUUCUGCGGAGUCAGCUGCCCUCCGUGCUCUCUCUGACAUUGCCGGCCGCUACAUCACUUCCUUGGGCCGCACUGCCUCAGCCAUUGCUGAGGCCCAAGGCUGGACAGAAUCCAACCUGCUUGAUCUCACUCUCGCACUCGAGGAACACAAACUUGCUGGAUUCUCUGGUGCAUCCGACCCUACUCGCCCAGUGCUAUGCUCCGGUGUGCUCUCGGAGCUUGCAGGGUUCGUCCGCAUGGUGAGACUGGUGCCAUUUGCGAAGUUGCUGCCGAGGAUGGGAGAACAGGUUUUACAUACCAAAAGGUGGGAGAGCUUCGCAUCAGCAGGGAAAGAGCCACCGUUGGGACAUGUGCCCAGGUGGCUGCCAUGCUUCCCUGAGCAGGAGGCUGAUAGUGAAGGGAUUAAGGGGAAGUGGGAACUGCGUAGGCUAGUCGAAGUUCAGGGUGAGCAGAUGGUUAAGGUGACUGACGAUGGAAAGGAGGGCAGGGGAGUGGUGCCGGGGAAGAGGGGGAAGGUGAAGUUUCUCAUUGGUGAUAAGAAGCAGCGGUGGGUGGGAUUUGACAAGCACGGUGGUGGAUUUGAACGAUUUGUGGGGAAGUGAGAAAAAUUAUGGUAAAAUUGUUUUGAAGCUAGUGACCAAAACUCACGUUAUUGCGGACAUAGCAUGAUGUCAUAGUUUGCCCAUUUAAUUUGUAUCUGUCAUGGUUUUUCAUGUAUUUUGAUGAUGCGGCAAGCUUACUAGUUAUCCUGUUCAGUAUGUUGUUAUUUGCUACUUGCUCUCAUGUUAUUAUUAUUUUAUUUAUUUUAAUCACAGAUGCAAGAGAACUAUGGGGCUCCUGGUUACUUCAGUGAGGCCAAUGGAUCACAGAGAAAGGAGCAUUUGUGAGUUUAUUACCCUGUUGUUAUACUUGCAGUUUGUCUUUUAGCAUCAUAUAUGUGUUGUGCUUAGCAUCGACAAACCAGACUCGAGCAUCUAUGUAUCAUACUAUCAAAAUAGUAGGAAAAGAAUGCUUCAGAUUUAACAGAAGUAAAGCAAUACUUUAGAUUUAAAGAUGUUGCUCUGAAGAGAUAGAAGAUCCACUUCAUUGAUUUCAGUAGAUCAUAUUUGUUAGAUUUAUUUCAUAUUCCACGUAUUUCUUAUAGAAAGUUCAGCUGGCAUAGUUAUUCCGAGAUCAGAAGCACUAUAAUCAAAGAAAAUGCACAUAUUCGUUCCUAUAAUAACCCAGCUGCUACAGUGUGCUGUCAGAUUUGUCAAUGCUCUUUUUGUCACAUUCAAAACUAUCUCGUAUAGAAUGACAGGAAUAUAAUUCAGCAUGUUCAUCAACAUUGGCAAAAUAUCUACACUGUUCAUCAUGGUGGGUCCAGACUAUAACGUGGUGGAUGAACCAGAAUGUCUAUAAAACAUUCAUGCUCCCUCCCAAUUUGGAAGUCGCGUUAGCAAAAUCUCUUAUACCAAGGAGCAGUUAAAACAUUGGAAAAUAGGAGUAAGUGCAUGGCUGGAAAUGCUUUGUUUCCAUAAAUUAAGCCGCACAAUUUUCGUGCCCUUCUUCCGUCCACUCGCAACGCCCCUACUGCAGGCAUGUAAAAUCAGCCGCAAUGCCUUAAUUAGCUGCAUGCAACCAAUCAACCCAUCCUGCAUGCAAUCCCACCCACCCAGCGCUGCAUGCAGUUUUUUUGGCCGGGGAAUUAAUGCGUACGAGAUAGCCGAGGCAUUUUUUUCAGCCAGUGCUAAGGCGACACUUAAUUUGGGAUUUUUUUCCUUCUAAAACCUAAUACAGCCUCUAAAUUGGGAAGGAGGGAGCACUAUAUAAAGUUCUUACUAAUUAGGUGGUGCAUAAAGAGUACACAUCUAUUUUAGAAACCCAUAGUACGUAGAUACAACUCAUAUAAGCCACAUAUGAACUCCAUAUGAUGUUUAUGGAUAUAUAAACUUUGGAAUAAAUGUUCUACAAUAAUAAGUUGGUUUAAUAUUACAAAUUAACCUAAAGAAGAGAGUGUAUGAAAGUUAAAGUUAGUCAUUGAUUUCCAUGCGAUAGAAAGAAAUAUUUAGAGAUGGAGGAACAUUGUCAACGUAACAUUAUUUUUUUAUGGCCCGUCAUAUAAAGAUAGAAUAGAUAUGGAUAGAGAGACAUUCUAUUGAUUCGCGAAAUGGCUCGUAGAUCCAAAUGAAUCAUUCUUCUGGUCUCUCUCUGCCCCCCGCCCCAAAAUUGACCCACGACACAGCGCCCAUUCGUUUCCACCCUCUCAAGAACUUCCUGAAGCCCUGAGACACUUGUUGCCAAUAGUCUUGAACAUUUGCAACAGUUCUUGUAGGCCAUUUCUGCAACAGCAUAUCUCUAAACCCUUCUUGCGGAUGGUUCAAAACGAAACUUAGUGGCAGCCCCUAUCUUCCCCAGAGUCUAGAAGUAAACUGGGAUGCAUCAACAUGCUUGGGUUGCUUAGAUGUGUAUAUAACCAUUACUUUUAUAUGGAAUUAAACUAAAAUUGGAUUCCAUAUAAAAAAUAAAACAAAUUCGCAAUUUGGUUUCUAAAUUCAAAUUGAUGAUAUGCAGUAUGUGGUGAGCUGAGUUUCAAUGUGAACGCUACACACCUAAGGUGUUUCUACAUAUGUGUGUGCUUAAAUGUUUCGGUGUGCACGGGUUAGAUCGGAGGAAAAAGCUCUGUCAGGGCAGAACAGAAAACAGCUACGAGAAUGAGUGAGAGAGAUUUUUUAUGAUUUUUUUUAUGAAUUCUAUGAUUGUGCAUGGCAGACCACGGAUUUCAUCACCACUGGACAGUCCAUUUGACAGACACCAAAUUCCUAGCUAACAACUUAAUAAAUUUGCAAAAAAUGUCUAUUUGUAUUUUUUGGAGAUGUAAAUUGUGGCUACAAUACUUCCCUAUAUCAUGAAUUAUACUGUUGUCUUGCGGCAUCUUAAUUUGAUGGUAAAUCUAGUCGUAGGAGCAAAUUGUUGGAGAGAAAACAAUACGGUACUAAACUAUACAACUAUAUGUAUAGCAAAUCUAGCUGCACAAAUGUAGGGGUCACCUUGCUACAUACUUAUAAAACUGGAACUUUUAGUUGUUCUUAGCCAUGUUAUGUAGUCUCUGGAGUGGGAACUUAUUUUAGAACUUGCUAUGUUGCGUAUAAGAUUAUGGUUGGCUUGUUUGGCUUCAUGAUAAACAUCAACCUAUGAUACUUAGCCAGCCUCGAAAAAUGGUACCUAAUUAUUUCAUGAUGAUCAUGAUUAGCUAAUCUUUGUUUUAAGCAAAGACACCUAAGGCCCUGUUGGGGUAUUCGCCGCAAAGUUUUGGAUUCAGUUCACUUCCACAAAAAAUGCCUCAAAUCCAAACAGACCUAAUUAUUUCCUUAUGAUACACAAUUUGUUAGUCUUUAUUUUAAGCAAAGUCACCUAAUUAUUUCAUGAUGUUAUACCGAAGCACUUGCAACUGUCAAACAUACUAUUUUUUCUAGUUUAAAACAGCCUGUUGAGUGAUUUAUUUGAACUCUAUGAUAUCUCAGCACCUACCUUCUUGGUUAUUUCUGGAUAUAUAUUUUCGUGAUACCUUGUUUGAGCUCUGCAUCCUAACAAUAACCAUCUGCAUAUGUUUUACUGUUUAUCAGUACCCGAUAUUCAUUUGAUUGUGUUAAUCUGUUCUUUCUCUCCUUUAGGGAAAUAAAACUUACUGAGGUUUCUGUGAGUGAUAAACUUGAAGGUUUUCGUGCAACGAAAGAGGUAUGCUGCAGCAGUCUCAACCUUUUCAAGCUAAGUUCAGCAUAUUUUCUGAUACUGUUGAUUUAACUCUCCUGAUGCUGAUGCCAUUCCAGUAAUAGUCACUUCUAACAUUUGAGUUUGCUAAAUAUAAACCACAUUUUGUGAUUUAUGACUCAGUUUCAGAGAGCUUUUUCACCCAUUAUAAGUUUGAAAUUAACUGUAAACUGGGUUUGAGAAUUGAGAUAUGGUUCCUAGAUCCGUUUAGUUGUAUUACUAGUUCCAAGAGGGAUGUUUAGUUUCUUUGAAGUAAAAUAGUAGUAUUGUAUGUCUUGAAAGACAGAUUCUAAUGGAAGAUCAUUUCUUAAUCUGUUUUACACGAAUAUCUAUUUAAAAACCAUUCCUUCACAGCAUUUUUCAUCCAGUCUCUUGACACACAACUUUGACCAGUCAUUAAUAUGUUUCUGCAGCUCUUUAAAGGUUUGAGUUUUCCGACGAUUUCAUCUGUGGGGCCAAAUGCAGCAAUCAUUCACUAUUCACCUGAAGCAAAUACAUGUGCUGAACUUGAUGCUGAUAAGAUAUAUCUGUGUGACUCAGGGGCACAGGUUGACUAAAUACCAGUCUUGAAAUGUAAUUUUCUGUUAGUCUUAUAGAAUCUAAUGAGAUUAGUAAUGCUUCACUUUCAGUAUCUGGAUGGUACUACAGACAUUACAAGAACUGUGCAUUUCGGUAGACCCUCAGAGCAUGAGAAGUCCUGCUACACAGCUGUAAGUUCUAUGUUGACAACGGAAUUAGUUAUUGAUAUGUAAUUCAUCAUGAUAUGUGUCAUCAUUGAUCAUUAUACUGUUUCCAUGUGUUCCUUUGCAUCUUCUGAUGAGGGACAGUAGAAAAAACCAAAAUAAAAUAAAUGUAGAAGUCCGAUCUCUCAAGGCUUCUACACACUUCUACUAUAUUCUAAGUAACUUGUCUUUUAGUCAUAGGUGUUGUGGUAGUUUCUAGAGUGUUCUACUAUAAGUUGUAACUAGGAUAUUUUCCUAGCUUUGAGUAGUGUUCCCUAGAAGCUUCUAGUUCUAAGUAGAGCUAAGUAGUGCAGGCUCAUGAGGCCUAUAAAUAGAGGUCCACACCUCUAUCUUGGGGCAGUCUUAUGUACCACUACCUAUCAAUAAAGAGCACUUUAUGUUCUUUGUCUUAGAUCUUGGAUUAGAUCUUGUGUGUUAAGAGUUUGGAUUAAACUCUUGGCAGUUCCCCGCCCCUAGAGCGAUAUCUAGCGCAGCACGUUGAAGUGGUUCCUUCAACAUUUGUGCUGUUUAUAUUAUAGCAGCAAGGUGGAGUUGCUGCUCCACAACUUUGUGCUGCAUCAUCUUCAUUAUGAUCUCUCCACUGUCAGAGUUAAAGGACACCUGACUAACAUGUCCAACAAUCAAUUUUGGGCCUUGAACUUACCGCUUGACCUUGUUAUUUAACAUUUGCAAUCUAACAAUGAGAUGAAUACCUUCUACUUAAAACUCCAAACUUGAUCCACGCAAGCAACAGAUGGGACUUCCUGUUAAGUCAGCUACUGUAAGACUUCACUGAAUUAUUGUUACAAGUUAUGUAGUUAUAAGUUGAAAACUCAUAUACUACAUGUUCAAAGUUUAGUAUCUUACACGCUCAAAAGGUUGUGGUUUUCUGUAUUGGCUACCUUCUGGGUCUGAGUGUCUGCCCUAUUAUUCUGCUACUAAACCUAUGUGCAAUCUACUUGGAAGUACUCCCUCCGUUCCAUAAAGAUUGGCACAGUUUUGAACUAGAGCUAGUUCAAAGCCGCGCCAAUCUUUAUGGGACGGAGGGAGUAGCAGGUUAGUAAUUAAAUAGGAAAAGGUGUCCUGUUCGACAUCAUGAUUCACAUUAGAUAAUUUCCACAUUUUGAUUGUUGAACUACUUAUAUUUGAUACCUUGCUAAUGCUGAAGUGAUAUUGAAUGUUGAAAAUAGGUUUUGAAAGGCCACAUCGCACUAGAUGCUGCUGUAUUUCCGAAUGGGACGACAGGUGAUUCAUUUUUUCAGCACUCUUACCACAUGAAUGUUUAUGCCUUCUCGAGAUAUAUAUACAUAGAACUAGGUGACAGUGCCUUUACAAAGAAAAUGAUCAAAAUGUUGCAAAAUGUUACUAUUUUAUGGUAGUUUGGCCAUGUUUUAUCAUGCCCCUCUGCGCCAAUGAUGCCUUUGUAAAAGGUUACCUUUGAUCGAAUUCAUUUCCCUCUCCAAUAUGGUCAAGAAGGUACUACUAUCUAUAUAGGAGGCCCUGCCAAAGGACCAAGCUAAGUUACAUCGCACAAGCCAUUCAAGAUCACAGAGCAGGACCUAGCUCGUAGGUCAAAUCUAGUUCUUGUAAUCCUUGACACAUCUUGAUAUUGUAUGGCUGUUAGUCUGUUACCCAUACCGGGGGGGGGGGGGGGGGGGCGCUGAACUAACACCGUUGGCACUUAGAUAUAAGAUAUGAUCUAAUUUGGAACAAUUUCCCUAUGCACCAUGCAUCUUCUAGAAUUCUAGGACAGACAGAUUUAAUAUUGAUAUUGAACAUAUCUUACGUUACCAAAGUACCAAUAUUAAUAUUUGGAACAAUGUGGUUGAUAAAUAUGGGUAGAAGGAGCACCAAAAAAUGGUGAACAUCAUGAACCUUUUUAGGAGCAUUUGCAUGAGUAAAGCUGCAACCAGAAUUCCAUUGGUCACUGAAGUUGUCUAGCGAUUUGUGAAAGGCUGACCACUUGUGACUAAUCGCUUCCUUUUGCAUGUUAUAUUUCAGGAAUUUCAAUAAUGUUCUAUUUUGACUUAUGGCAGAAUCUUUUGCUUGACUAAUUUCGUUGUGAACCUCGAUAUUACUUCUAGGGCAUGCUCUUGACAUUCUGGCACGAACUCCACUGUGGAAAAGUGGUCUUGACUAUCGUCAUGGUACAGGCCAUGGAAUCGGGUCUUAUUUGAAUGUUCAUGAAGGUCAGAUGGGUGGCUGAUCCUCAUAUUAUUCUUUCCUAAUUUAAUGAAUGUCUGGCCAUCUUGGAACAAUGAAUCAAUCAUGUUUCUGCUUUGAAACCAGGUCCUCAUCUAAUUAGCUUCAGACCUUCUGCUCGAAAUGUACCCUUGCAAGCAUCCAUGACUGUCACUGAUGGUCAGUAACGAUCCAAGCCCAACUUCUAAUUUCUUAAUGAUGUGUUUAUAGUUCAAAAUGGAAUUAAUCAAUUCUUCCAUGUUAAGCAUCUUGUUUCAAAAAAUUUAUGGAACAUAAAUUUGCAUGACCUUUUGUUCCAGAGCCUGGUUACUAUGAAGAUGGAAACUUCGGCAUAAGGUUGGAGAAUGUUCUUAUAGUCAAAGGGGCAGAUACUAAGUUUAAUUUUGGAGAGAAGGGUUAUUUGUCAUUUGAACAUAUAACAUGGGUAAGCAUUUCUUGUUCAUUCUCCACCGUAACUGCUGACCUUGUUUUCACUUCUCUUCCAUUCAUUUGGGCUAGUGCUUUUAGGUUUGUAGGCUGAGGAAGUUCACACAAUUAUGGGAAAAUGAGCUUUCUAGUUUCAGCUUUCUGGACUUUGCUGUCACAGUGUUAUGAGCCCUGGAAUUCUAGUCAAUAGUACAUUUUCAGCUUGCUGCUGUGAUUAUCCAAGUCAAAUUUGUUCCUGGCCUUCCAAGUGUUUGUUUUAAAUAUAAAAGCUAGGAUCUGAUGCGUGGCUAUCAUGUGUGCUCAGUCGUGCUACCUUGAUUGCAAAUUCAACAUAGCAAGCCAGGCAUUCAUAACCUAUACAAAUAAUGUUGUUCACCAGUUCACCAGUUUAUUAACAUUGUUUCUUCUCAUGCGCCACUGUGUCGUCCGGCUACUGAUGAAUUCCUUGUUUUUCGCGUGCAGGCUCCAUACCAGACGAAGCUGAUAAACACAACCUUGCUAACCCCUGAGGAGAUCGACUGGGUAAACAUGUACCACUCAGAUUGCCGGAAAAUCUUGGGGUCUUACCUUAAUGAGCAGGAGAAGGAAUGGCUGAGGAAGGCCACUGAGCCCAUCACUGUGAGCUCUUAAGCCAGCCACUUCUGUGUUACAAUUGUGUAGCAAUCGUAGAUAGAUGGGUGUCACACUAUUUAAUCAACUGCAAUUAGUGUGAAUAGCAGCAAUUGAACAACUACAUUUUAUUCUACGUUAUUUAAGCUGCCAAGUAGUAAAUGUGGAAAUAAAAAUGCGGAUGCCCAAUGCUUUGUCCCCAAGAAGUUGUGAAAAAAAUGAUCAACGGCGGCCACUGAGUGCCGGCAGGCGAUUCCAGGCCAGGGCCGGCUGGCUCGACAGGCAGGUCAGCACUAGCUAGAAAAACCUGUGGCGUGGUGAUUGAGGCACAACAAUAUGAAUUUGUCCUGGUGAUUGAGCAGGCACAACAAUAUGAAUUUGUCCAGGAGGUUCAUCGUUUGCCGGCUGCAUCUCACUCUCUGUCUUAAAUCAUUAUGUGAUUCUGCAGAGAACCUACACGCUUGUGACCGUCGUCGCGGCUGGUUUUAGCGGGCUGGUUUAUCUAUGUGGCUAGACUGCCUAUAUUACGGAGUAGUAGGUUGGGUUACGUUGUUGAGUCAAACGCCUAACCUUUUGCUAAUUAAAAGUCACAAAAACUGAAUAUGUACAUAUAUUUGAUACAAAUUUCAACAAGAGUUGAAUGCACCCGAGGUCAAAAAAAUAGUACCUUCAGUGUGUCAUCAGUGGUCCUAAGCACACCGGAGCAGGGCUGACUUGUCCAGGUAUCCGGUUGACUCCCUUUGAAAAGGCAUGUACAAUUAAUGAAUAAGAUUUAUCUUUGCAAUUUUCCCUGGAAAUUAAUUUCCCCGCCUCAUUUCGUGGCCCUCCCUUUUCUUUCUCGCACGCGCCCCUCUUGCAAUGAAUGACCGGCGAUUGUGACCGCAACACUAGCAAAGGGGCCGAAGUGGUAGUGUGCUACAUUGUGAUCGGAUCGAUGCACCUGGAGGAUGGCCCCAGUCCGGCGACACCCUGGCGUCCCUCCUCCGCAUUACGGUAAGCUCCCGAGCUCAAUUCCUACGUCUGUGAAUCCAAAUCCGGUUACCUCUCUCUGUCCCGGCCGCAGCAUCGUCCUCCACCGGCAACACGAACACCUGAUGAGGGGAAAGCUCAUCCUGGCUGAUUUGCUACCAACAGAAGCAUAGGAGCUUCUUGAAGCGCCACCGCUCCCUGCCAUGUCGCUCUUGGUACAGACGGGAAGACAAAGUGGGGAGUAGAAAUGAGGAAGAAGAAGGGUGGGAAUAAACGGAUUUUAUAAAGGAGAGGGAGAUCCCUGCAAAUAUCCCAACUGCUUACGGCGGGGAUUUUGCCGCGCCAAAACCACUCCUGUCGACAUGGCGUGACUCAACUGAACAUUUUGGGCAGGCCAGACCUGCUCCGGUGUGCUUAGGACUACCGGUGACACACUUAAUGUACUUUUAGGACCCAGACGUGCACUUUCAUACUAUUAGGACCUAGUUGACACCCCACAAAUAGUUAUAGGGCGUCGGUUACAUUUAACUCUUUCAACAACUUAGGUGCAUCGGUUAUAUUUUCGUUUUCAGGGCUCUAACUAUGGAUGAUUUUUGUCAUGUAUUAAAUCACUAAUCACAUAAUAUACUGCAUGAUAGAAAUCACAUACUCCCUCCGAUCGGUAUUACUUGUUUCAAAUUUGUCCAAAUACGGAUGUAUCUAUGUGUAAAAAACGUCUAUAUACAUGUAAUAUUUUGACAAGUAAUUCCGGUCAGAGGGAGUAGAUAUUUUGUUGUUCACUUGUGUACCGAGUUCUUCAUUUUCAGGGCUCUAACUAUGGAUGCUUUUUAUCAUGUAUUAAAUCACAUAAUAUACUGCAGGAUACAAAUCACAUAGAUAUUUUGUGGUUCCCUUUUGUACCGAGAUCAAUGAGCUAAACGAGUGUUAGCUCACGAGUUAAAUGAGCCAAGCGAGUUUGGAUUUCAAAUUAUUAUGUUAAUUAACGAGCUGAUUCGUUAUACUAACAAGUUCUUAUUGGAUUGAUGCGCUAGCCAAUUGAAUCAAAAGUCCGAACUAAUGAAAAAAGACUAAACAAUAUAUUUAUAUUCUCAACACUCCCCCUCACGUCUAGGCUAUUUUAUUCCUAGCGUGGGUUCGGUGUAGGCCGCAUAAUCUUUUUUUUAAUACUGCGUGAGCAGGGUCUUGAACUUAAGACCUCUUGACUCUGAUAUCAUAUUGAAUUGAUGCGCUAGCCAAUUGAACCAAAAGUCCGAACUAAUGGAAAAAGACUAGGCAAUAUAUUUAUAUUCUCAACACAACAAAUCGAGUCGAGCAAGUUCUAACAAGUCGAGUCAAGCAAUUUCUAACAAGUCGAGUCGAGCUGGAGUGGUCGCAUGGAGUUGGUGUUGAGUAUUUUGUAUCUGAACUUGAAACUUUACGUGAACCGUCUUCCCUCUCCCAGUCCCCUCCCCGGUAUGCUACUACUCUAUCCUGCAGAGAUAAUCGAAUCGAGCUGUAGUAACAUAUACCUCAUCCGUUCCAUAAAGAUUGACACCACAAAGAUUGAAACGGUUUUGAACUAUAGUUAGUUCAAAUUCAUGCCAAUUUUUAUGGAACAGAGUGUACGCUGGAUGGAAUGAAUGAAAAUUGGCAAUACCAAAUUGCCGCCACAUGAGGUCACGAGGCACACUUAAUUAGUACUCUCACACGGUACAUGCCAUGCAUGGCCAAUCUGGAUAAAUACCACACAUUUAGGCAUCUAACGAUACAUUACAUCCCUGGUAUGUACGUCGAUCGACCAGUGGUACAAAUACAAACAACAAAUACAUCCAUACAUACGGCAUAGGAGUGGCAUGUCUUGUCAUUAUGUGAUGAAAUCUGCCGAGAACCUACAUGCUUGUGACCGUCGUCGCGGCUGGUUUUAGCGGGCUGGUCUAUCUAUGUGGCUAGACUGCCUUUAUAUAUUGUAGUAGGUUGGGUUACAGUGUUCGAGUAAAAACGCCUAACCUUUCGCUAAUUGAAAGUCUAAGAAAAACUGAAUAUGUACAUAUAUUUGAUACAAAUUUCAACAAGAGUUAAAUGCACCUGAGGUCAUAAAAAUAGUACAUUCAGUGUGUCAUCAGUGGUCCUAAGCAUGUCGGAGCAGAUCUGACUUGUCCAAGUAUCCGGUUGACUCCCUUUGACAACGUACAAUUAGGCCCUCUUUGGAUUGAAGGAUUUUCAUAAGGUUUUGGUAGGAUUCUAAACCAUAGAAAUUUUUCCUAUAGAGACUCUUUGGUUCAAGGAAAUGAAUCCUCCUAAAUUCCUAUGGAUUGGUUUCCUAUACCCUAAUCCUAUGGGAAUUUUAGCAAGAGGUUGGACCUCUUAAAAAAAUUCCUGUGUGUCCUGUGAUGCAACCAAACACAUUUUAAUACCGAUUCCUGUGUUUUGAAUUCCUGUAUGAUUGAAUAUGCCGUGGCAUCUUAUUCAUGUACUUUUCGUGUUCCUGUGUCAACGAAUAAGAUUUAUCUUUGCAAUUUUCCCCCGCCUCACUUCGUGGCCCUCCCUUUUUCUUUCUCCCACGCGCCCCUCCUGCGAUGACUGCCCGGCGAGUGGGGGCGACCGCAACACUAGCAAAGGGGCCGAAGCGGUAGCGUGCCAGAUUGUGAUCGGAUGGAUGCACCCGGAUGGCCCCAGUCCGGCGACACCUUUGCGACCCUCCUCCGCAGUACGGUAAGCUCCCGAGCUCAAUUCCUACGUCUCGCAGUCCCUCCCCGGUUUGCUGCUACUCUAUCCUGUAGAGAUAAUGGAAUCGGACAUCGGGACUUAACAUAUACGCUGGAUGGAAUGAAUGAAAAUUGGCAAUAUCAACUUGCCGCAACAUGAGGUCACGAGGCACACUUAAUUAGUACUCUCACAUGCGGUACAUGCCAUGCAUGGCCAAUCAGGAUAAAUACCACACAUCUAGGCAUCUAGCGAUACAUUACAUCCCCCGUACGUACGCCAAUCGACCAGUGGUACAAAUAAAACAACAAAUACAUCCAUACAUACGGCGUUAAUUUGAACUCCACUGGAUUAAUUGGGCGCGUGGUAAUCCCGAGGCACAUUACAGAUCGGACGGAUCAUCAUCAGACGUCGCGGUCGCGUUUGCACUCGGGCGACAUGGCCGCGUACCGCUCGCGGUCGGUGCAGUAGUUGUAGAUGGUGUGCUCCUUCCGGACCCAGGCCAGGCGGCGGUACUGCGCCGCGUCCAGGUCCUGGAACUCCGGCUGGUCCCACCAGCGGGCCCCCUGGGUGGCGCAGAACUUGGCCUCGGCCGAGGCCUCGCAGCCGUCCACGUGGAACCCGCGGUAGGACGCCACGAAGGGCGCGUUGGACCAGUCCGUCUUCUCUCUUCCGCCACGCGUCGCCCAGUCAUCUGCGUUCCACAGGCUCGAGUAGAGCUUCAUCGGCUGGUCGAACGGGUACCGCACGCCCAGGUCCUUGCUGUUCUUGAACACCCGGAUCGGCGUGUCGUCCACGAAGAAUCUGUGUCAAGAAAUAAAAAUAAUCCAAAUUUAUUCCGGUUUCUGUAGGCAAAAUUCUGAUGGAAAUCUGUAGCGUUGCAGUACUGUGUCGGAAAUCCUGUCGACGUUUGCAGUAAUUUCGCAGGUACGUGGACGGUGCAGCAGCAAAAGCUUCACACGCCAUGGGUCUAGUACUGACGCUUUAGCUAUAGCAUCGUGGCCUGGAGCAGCGGGCCCGACAGAGGACAUGUACACGCGCCGCGCAUCGAUUGCACAUGCGCUCGGAUCUUGGUUCCGUGCUUGUUUCAGAUUUUAUGCUUGGGCAGUACAGGAUUUUUAUUUUAUUUUUUGCUAGUAGGGCUGGGCAGUACAGAGUAGAUUUUUUUUCAGAGUUUUACUGUACGUAAUGAUCGAAUAAAAAAACUUCUGAAAUCGACGGAACAACUAAACUAGAAGUAUAUACUAAUGAUGCAGAGAAUGUUGCGGUUAGUGUACUCUUUUCGUCCCGAAUAAUUAGCUGACUGUGAAUUUGUAUAGAAUUUUAUGUAAAUCCGUCUCAGUUAAUUCGGCUUAAAUCUGUUCUUUCUUCAGAUGAAAUGACUUUGAAAGCAUAUUAAGAAUUACCACAUUGUUAUUUUAUAUUCAAAGAAAUGUAUUUUAAAACCGAUUCUAUUGAGACCGUAAACAGCUAAAUGUAAACUGUCAAACUAGGUAAUUUUUCUUGUAAAAUGCUGAUGCAGUGAAGCCUUUAUUUUGCUCCCCCAUAUCAACCUUGAUGCUAAAUCUAGUGUCUGAAAUAUUCCAUCCAUCAUUGCUCAGUGUUUGUAUUUUACUAUAUUUUAUUUUACUUCCCACGUUAAAAAUAAACUCUUUUACGAGCGUGCAGCAAAGCUGUCUGUAACUACUAAGUACUCGCAGUAUAGGGAUGGGAGAGGUUAAUCGAAGUAAUUACGCGAUCAUGUAGAGGUUCCAGAGGACGGAGUAGGAGUGGUAGUCCUUGGUGGGGUCGAACCAGAGGUAGAUCCUCUGCUCCCGGUCGCCCUUCCCGCCGGAGAAGACGUUGGUCUGCAGGAUAUACGGCUGCCCCGUCCGGUUCCCCAGGAACUCGAAGUCGAUCUCGUCGUGCUCCGAGUUCUGCGACGACAACUACAAAACCCCGCAAAACACGAGCUCAGCAAAGCAAAAGCCAAAACAGAGCACGCAGAGCAUAGCAGAGCAGAGGCAAUGGCGGCGUACGUAGAAGGCGGUGACGGUGCCGGCGGAGUCGCCGCCGACGAGCUUGAUGUGCAUGCUGAAGUGGCCGAAGAGGUAGGAGCCCCGGGUCUGGAAGCCGGUCCCCGUGGACUUGUCCAGGGAGAGCUGCACCUCGCGCCCGCCGUUCAGGUAGUGGAUGUGGUCCGACGCCCACGUCGGCACGUAGUUCUUCUCGAACGGCACGUCCACCGGCUUCCGUGGCGGCGCCGCCGCAGCGCCUCCUAGCAGCGCAGCGGCCACCACGGCCAGGAGCACCCCCGCGGCCGCCUUCAUUUCUUCCAACCCUUCUCUUUCUUUCUUCCUCUGCGUGGCUUGCUAGUGGCAAUGGCGAGUGGCGGAUGCUAAGAGGGGGCGAACUCCGUGCGUAUUUAUAGCUGGUGCGAGGAGCUCACUGGCUAUUGUUUGUGGCAGUAUAAUCGAAGGGGAAAUAAUUUAUUUUUGAAGUGGCACUGUUUUGCUUGAUCGAUUAAGCAGUGUGGCGAGUGGGCUGACAGCCAGCUGCAUCCACCGCAUUGGGACGAGCGAGCCUGCGAGGUGCAUGCAAUGCUUGUCUUGUGCGUGUCAGGUUGGCCCAGUGCGAGCAAAUCAAGCAGGGCUGGUUGAUCGAUCGGGCGGUCCACAGAUGGAUCCAUCACAACUUGCAGCCACUGAUUAAUUUACAAGAUGCUACCGCUCCAGACAUGAACACUGUUUAACGCAAUGCAGUAUACUUCUUUUGAGUUCAGGGAGUCGCCGAUCCUAGUUUGUUGGUUUUUGCAGUUCCCUUUUUGCGGUUUGUUUAACACAACCAGAUGAGUUUUUUCUGAAAGUCUGGAUUGCCGAACACAACAUUAUACGCAGAGUGUGGUGUGGCUGGCAGGAGUCAAUGCAGGUCACAUGGGGGGUGUUCCAUCAGCGUGCAUGUUCCAUCGUCCGGGGUCUCUCUCUCACAUCGCAAUCAGGAGCCGUCCCAAGGGGAGUCCCGAGCGCGAAUCUCAAAAUCUAACGCCACGCCAGCCGUGGCUGUGCGUUGUUUCCCGGCUGGACCCGGAGCAAACGCUACCGACACGGACCCGUUCCUUUCCCGAUCUUACUGCAGCUUUGAUCAGUAGCUAGAUCCAUUCAAGGGUCAUUCCGAUUAGCUAGUUCAUGUUCGAGAUUAAGCUGGAAUCCAUUUCAAUGGAUUAACACGUACUACUGCACCGUCAGCGAAAACACUCUCAGUAGGCCUAUGUAUGCCGACAGCAUUUCCGGUGCUUCAACUGCUCGGCGGCGUCGGCGUAUCAAUUUGCCUAAGCCAUGCACCAGUGUCGAUCACGUAGCUGGAAGUUUGGGAAAAACACUAGGCACCUCCGAAAUGCAAAAUCUUCGUCUUGCCAAUUGUGAUUCGAAACUGGGUAAGGACGGCCAACCUGCUUCAGAGACCAGAGCGGCCAAACUGCAUGCUGUGCCAAUUAUGUUGGGCUAUAUUUGUGAAGUAUACACAGUAAGACAUGCUUUGACAAAAAAGAGAGUACAUUCAACCGUGACAUCAUCUGUUGUGCUUGCUCGUUUAUGACAUACUAGAAAUGAUUAGAUUACCAUGUGAAGCGAGCUAGGUCCUGCCUCCGAUCCAUAACAAGUGUCGCUGAAUCGGCGGGAGUAGUACAAGAGAAGACUUGGUGCAGAUGUGGGGGAAAUGUUGAAGUACAAGUGUAUUGGCUACCCGUUCUAUCAUAUCGGUAUUUUAGUUGCGUUGGCAAGCGCAUGAAGCUCUUCAUGGUAUCAGAGUCAAGAGGUCUCGAGUUAGAUACCCGGUUGCUGCCACAAUUAAAUUGCGACGUACUUUCGAUCCACGUUUAGUCCUGCAGGAAACUGAUUGCCUAGCUCUUUCCAUCGGCUCGGUCUUAUUUUUGUGUUUGGUGAUCGCAAAAAAGGAAUUUAUUUUUUAAAUUUCUCUUUGUAUAUUUUUUUUGUGACAGACCGUAUACACAUUUUACUUUUCUUACUCAAUGAAACUACGCAAACCUUUUGCCUCAGUUAAGAAAACUAUUACUUCCUUCGGUCGGAAUGAUUUGCCAUUGAUUUAAUACAAUUUUAUAUUAAAUCUGAGACAAGUAAUUCCGGCCGGAGGGGGUAACUAUAAGCUCGAGCAGCUAGUUCAUUGCUCAUACGAAGGGCAAGUGCCGUAAAUUAGUGGCAGAAUAUGCAACUAUCGGAGAGCUAUAUUUUGCAUUACAAAUGCGUGUUUUCGAAAAAAAGCUUCAGCUAGCUACUACGUGCACCGAUGCACGUUUUCUUUCUUUCUACUAAAGCUGCUACGACGUACACUGUGGCUGUGCAGCGUGCACUCGAGUUUCCACGUCCGUGCUUGCUUGGUCCCAAGUGGUUCUGUUUGUACCCAACUGCUGCCAGUCUGCCAAGAAGAGGCUCCCAUGCGCUAAAAGCUCUUGGUGUCAGUUAAGGCCGGUCGUUUUACGCGGCGAGUUGUCCCACGACGGUACGAGAGAGAGAGUAAGCAAAAAUACUCGUAGAAUAAAACCGGCGCGGCUAGGAUAUGUCGCCGUGUCGGGGCCAAAUUAAUUUUUACUAGUACUAGUGCGUAGAAGAAGAAGGGCUUAUCAGGCAGUGCCAUCUGUUACAGGCACACGUGAUGGAUGGUCCGGAGUUGGAUAGGGAGGUCAAUCGACGACGACCGGCGGCAUCCCUCCCUCCCAUGUUACCCGAUCAAUCUGCCUACGUUUGCGCUAGCUAGCUGUGGCUCGGCGCGAUGCAUCACAUGCAUGUAUGUCCAGGAAGUUGGCUAGUUGGAUCUAUGGAGAACCGGAGUCUCCCCCGGAUGGACCGAGCAGCGAUCGUUGCCUGUUUAAUCAGGACAGAGUCUUGCUCACCUUGAAUACUCGGUUGAGCUUGAGCAGGAGUCAAUGUUAGAUCCAGUACACUACUAAGAAAUGUAUGGUUCGGCCAUUGGCUGGGUAUUUUCAGAGAGAAAACUGGUGAUAAAAUUUAUCACACAAAUGGAAGUUUCUGAACAAUGCACAAAGUGAACAAGAAGGGUAGUUCCUAAACGAAAUUUCCCCUUCAUAUAAUGGCAUUUGUUUGUUCCGUUGCAUACAAUCUGAAACGCUAGAUUCAGGUGCUUGAAACAGUAUAUAGUAAACAUAACUAACCUGAAGCCAAAUACAGUUGGGACUUGGGAGCAGUGAUAUCUUCGCACUUCCGGCGGCCAUGUGCCCGCACGUACUGCAUCAUGGCCACAGGCAAGCUCCGGGCCGGGCCACGACACGUCCACAGCUCAGGCAGGCAGGCCGAUCGAUCACCAGCGGGGAAGUGGGUGUGUCUGAAGCUCUGAUGGGUCAUGGGUGUGGGUCUGAUGCUCUAAUCUGAUUCCUUCCCAUGAGGAUGCAUCUGCAUCUGUAUCUGCAUCGAUCUCACGGGGGCACAAUUGUGGGUGCAGCAGUUUCAUGUACAGCUCGUUUCGAUCUUCGUGACGGGAUCGCUCGCCGUAUUCCAGCAUGCAUCCAGCGAACAGGGUCUCUCAAUCACCCGACACUGCUCAUGGACGACCCUUACUUAGCAUGUCACUAUAGGUCUGUUUUCCUGUUCCUGAUCGAGUUUGAACUUUAAAAUUUCACUAUAUUAAAAUCUCAUUACAUGUUGAAUUGGAUUGUGUUCUCUCUCGGUAGGCUAUGGAGACCUCGGUCAAAAGUCGGCGGACGAAAAUGAGCAGCCAAUCAUAAUGUUUCGUUUCUAAAAAUAAGAUGUCAAUCCGUGGCGGAGUUAGGAUCUUCAGAGCCUUGGGCUAAGUAAAUAUGAGCUAGGUUGAACAGGCUACAUCUUUAUAAACUCACAAAUUGGACAAAUUAUUGUAACACUAGUACUUUAGCUAAGCAUGUGGCCACAGCCCCACUUGCCCUAUGCCUAAAUCCGCCCUGAUGGCAAGCAAUCUUCUUAAAGGCCGAUGAUUUUUUGGUCUUCAGGCUACAGGGGCUCGCUUAGGGCCAUCUUCAAGAGUGAGCCCUCAUUUGUCCUUCCCAUUUGUCCAUUUAAAGCGUCUUUGGACAAAUGGGGGUGUCGAAAAUAUCAAGUUGUCUAAUGGUAACCUCCCAUCUAUUCUUUCUUGAGUCUUUGACAUGUGGGCAAAAAAGACAAGUGGACAAGAUUUUGGAUGAGUUUUGCACAAAUGGGGAGUUCCCAUACUCUCCCCAGAUUUGAGGAAGAAAUGGGAAGUGUGGAUUAUUUUUGGACAAAUGGGGGUUUCCAUUGGGUUGUGUAUUUUGCUCUUGGACCCCUAUAUGGACAGAUUUGGAUAAAUGAUGAGGAUUUGGGGAGUUUCCUUGGAGAUGCCCUUAGGAUCAUUUUUCAGCUACCACAGCGAAGGGACAUUCCUUCUUUGAACUCGCGGUUCGUUUCCUGUUGGCUUGAGGAAACAAAGAUUUCUUUGCCGAAGCUGCUUCAGGAUGUCUCUUUGACGAGUUCUGAGGUGAUAGUUAGUUUUUUUUUCCUAACUUUUGUCACUUUGGGUUGUAAUAAAUGUGAUCUGAUCGGUGUUUGUGACUUCAAUGUGGUUGUGUGCAUCAAAUGAUGCAAACACCGGAGGAAUGACCUCUUUAUCGGGAAAAAAGGAACAGAGGUGGUCGAAUUGAAUUAUCUAAAAAAAAAAAUCUUAUUCCUUUGUAUUCGAUUUAUUAGGAAAUUUCCAUCCACUCAAAUUUCUGGUAAGAUCUCUUUGCUUUUCCUAUGGUUUAGUCUAUUAUAUACUAAAAGUACAUGAAAUGAUAACCAGAAAAAAUGAAAACACGGAAACAUAUCACAAAAAAGGAAAAACAUCAUAUCCCUUUUCUGUAUAAAGGGCCUACACAUAUCUCUAGACCGCUAAUUCGACUGAUAUAAUGUGCAUUUUAUAUCACAACAAUUAUAUCAUUAGAAAAUAUAACAUUUGAAUUUUCUGAUGAUAUAAUUUUGUAAUAUAAAAAUCAUAUUAGAUUAGUCAAAUUGUCGACCUAAGAAUACACGUAGGCCCUAUACCAAACGGAGAUAGUAUGUGUUAAUAUGUGGAAAUACCUCUGGAAGCUUAAAAUUCCAUUAAAAAUCAAGAUUUUUAUGUGGUUUCUUGAUCGCCAAGCUCUAUUAACUAAAGAUAAUCUGGCAUACCGGCAUGGGAGGGGAGUUUAAAGUGUUGUUUUCGUAAUGCUGAUGAGAGUAUACAACACCUUUUUCUUACUUGUCCUUUUGCUCGUAUUAUUUGGCGCAUUAUUUUCAUUACCUUCAAUUUACCUCCACCGACAAUGAUUACCAAUUUAUUUGGGAACUAGUUUAAUGGUGUAGAUAAAAAAUUCAAAGCUCAUACUUGGAUGGGAGUUUCGGUUUUCUGUUGGGCUAUUUGGAACAUCGGAAGUGAUGUUUCUUAUAAUAUAUCAGGAGCUCCACAUUUUUUGCAGGUUAUCUACAAAGCCACGCACUGGAUUCGGUUAUAGACGUUCCCGCUUUCAGCGCACCAACGGGAACUUUUGGCUAUUGGAUGCACCCGGCUGGAGACGGUCUCACGGGAUAUCUCAACUGGGCUGGUUGGCGGUCUACUAGACGACUUAAUGCAUAGACUCGUUAUGUUUGAUUUAUUUCGCUGCCUUAUCUUUGUAUCCACGAUCCACGAUCUACGAUCUUCGAUCGCUGAAUUGUUUGACUCAUUACAACUUUACAAUAAAAUUGGCUGUGUGCAUCAAGCCGGGACGUUCCCCUUUUCGGAAAAAAAAUUAUGCGUUCAUAUGUAGCAAAAUGUAGGGUAGACACUCAUAAUUACAGCCCCAGAAUUUAGGUAACCGUAGCUGUGGAUGUGGGCCUAUGGGCUGAGCUAGACGGGCUGUGGUACAGGCCCAGCCCAGGUGGACAACACAUGGUUUAAGAAAAGUUUUAGCCCACAGAAGCUAGUGCGGAAAGGCUUAGCCCCCCAGGCCCAAUAUAACGCCGCUGGCCUAAAAUGCAAACUGCCCCAGCCAUUUCUGGACCGUCCUCUAAAAAAGCCAUCUAUGCACCCCACGCCCAGGACCAUCGCUCGGCCCGUUGGUCGCCGGAUGCAUCCAUCGAUCAGGCUCGGCGAGAACCGCGAUCCGCCGACUCCGCGGAACAGGAGCGGAGAAGUCGCUUUCCCUGCUGGCUGCGCCCCAAAAUCCCUAGCCCACGGCAAGAUCCUGAGAAAAAUUAUACAUAGGCUAAAUCGGCGAUCGGCGGCUCGCGGGCUCACGGCAGUGCCGGCGCAGGUAGUGUACGCAACAUUGCCUUUUGACUUUGGUUUGUGUUUCUAAGUUUUUCCUUGCAUUUGAAAUUUUUCAAUGCUCCGUCGGUGGUAGUUUUUGUUGAUCCCGGCCUAAGUAGAUCCUAUUCAAUUGCUUGCAAUUUAUUAGGUUUAAUUUAGACGGAGAAAUUCUAUUCAAAAUAGAUGGAUCUUGUAGUAGCAACGCAGAGCAUAAAAACACACACACACACACACAUUGAACAUUUUUUUGGAGAGAUCACACUGAACUUGAUAUGAAUGAUAUUGCCGAUCUGGGACUUUGAAAACCAAUAGAACUGUUUGAUCCUAGUAUUAGAGACGAAGCUAAGAGAUGUCGAUCAAUUGGGCAUAAUUUGAAUUUUAUUCCCAUCUAGCGAAAUUUCGGGGUGUUGAUUAGUACUCUUCUACCAUCGUACAAUUUCAUUAUCAUCUAGCAGUUUUUUUGCGUGCCAAAAGUGUGUCUUUGUUCAUUCUUGGGUCUCCCCAAGCAAUGAUCCUCCAUCCUCACCAUAGUCUCCCUCCAACGCCAUCACCUCGGGCGCUUCAUCUGCCAAUCCACGCACGCACGUCUCAGCCAAGCUGAGCUUCUGUGCUCUGAGCAGCUCGAGCUCGGCCCAUAAAUUAAAAAGCCCGAGCCAAGCUUUUAUAUUGGUCUCGUUUUUCUUUUCGGGCUGAGCCAGGUUUAUCUCGGACCGCUCGACGAUCCCAAAGUCCGAAGGGUUUCUGCCCAACCCAUUUAUUAUCCGGCCGCAGGCUUGCAACAGUGCAACCCAGUCCACACCCACUCCUACUCCUCCGCAAACUCCUGCCCGCCCGGAAGCCCGGCGGGCCAGACCUGGCACGGAUUUAAACGGGCCGGGCCACGUGAUGAGGACAUCCCAGCCAUCGACACUACACCAACAAUCAGUGAACAUAUCACACGAAGUCGUGUCAAACUGAUAAGCGAUCAGGUGAACGCUGACUUAAGUUUAUCUCACAAUUGUAGUGAUAUGGUUUUUUUUUCGUCUCCAUUGUUGUUGGUUGAACUCAGAUACACUACUGAGGAAAUCCAUCAACCUAUGAGCUUUUGAAGAAACCAAGUGAAGAAACAAGUUAGAGGUGCUUUCAAUGCACUCAACAUUUUUCCUCUACCUUUCGGUUGUGCUACCACCCACCCGGAGAAUAGACGUGGCAAGAGGGGUAUACCAACAUAAGCUAAAUAAAAUUUACUUUUCAGCCCAACAAACCUCACAUCAUUUAUGUGUAUCAAAAGUUACGCCAAGUUUGGCGAGAGGUGUCCAGGGGUGUUAAAUGAUGCAUGAGAUUUCGAGAAGCUAUUCAAUAACUAUCCAAGUUGACUUCGUUUUCCUAAGAAAGCCAAUCAUAUUUUGAGUCAUGUUCACACCUAUCUAGGGGGGAGGGUUGUUUCUUAGUAUAAAACCCCAUCUUCCCCAUCCUUAGAGCGUUCUUUUGUCAAACCAUUUAGUUACAAUCUUAUGCAGCAAGAUUUCUGAGAGAUCCUUACUACCUUUGCUCUUGUGAGUUCAUCCGGAUUUGCGAGAAAGAGUGUUUGGUUCCUCCUAAUUCAUGCUCUACGGUUCUGACUGUUUUGUGUGAGUUAGUCCCGAUUUGUGGUUAUGCGAUUGUUUGGACAGCAGGUCGGAGUUCUUGCAGCUUCGGAUCGCCUUUCCCAACGUACGGGUCGCAUCAAACCUUGACCGGGGGAAGAGCAGGUGGUGCGUGCAGGUGCUGAAGAGCUGGGUCGAUCUGCAUGGGAGCUGGUAAGUCGGAUGAAUUAGUCGUUGUGCACGGGGAGUUAGCCGUGUGGUUGUUAGAUGCAUGUAUUAGCUAGGCAGUUAGUUUGUUAGCCGAUGGGUUGUCGGAGGCCUAGUCGUCCUUGAUCGAUGGCAGUGGAGGAGUUAUCCACCGCAUGCAUGCACCCAGGAGAAUAGGAUUAGUAGCUCAACGUGGAGUUAGUUGCCGGCCUGCGGGCGAUUUAUACAUGUACACGUUGUGAGAAGAGAAGAAGAGAAAAAGAGGAAUAGAAAAGCGGAGGGCUCUGCGAGGCAGCCAUUGCCAAACUCUUGUGUCUCCUUGUGUUCUUACUAUUUUUUUUAAAUAAUACGAUUUUUUUUAAUCAUUUUCAAAAAUAAUACGCGUUUUUUAAAAAUCUCAAAAAUAAUACGGCCUCGGCCUGGGCGAGGCCGAUUGGGCCCAGUCGGCCUCGCCCAGGCCGCCUGCUCAGCCCGCGGGGCCCCCACGAGGCAGUCGGCCUGGCCCAGGCCGACUGAGCCCAGUCGGCUUCGUCCAGGCCGACUGGCCACUCGGCCUCACCGUGGCUGACAUGCCUCACCUGGGCCGGGGAAUCUCCUUUUCUCUUUUCUCUUUUUCUCUUUUCCCUUUCCUUUCCUUCCUUCCCAUCGCGCGAGCCCAGUCCACCGAGCCCUCUUCUUCUUCCUGCUGCCUGCACCUUCUGUUCUUCUUCUCCUCUUCUUCUUCCUCAAAAAUGCCCCCAAAUUCUUGCCAAAAUGAGUGAGUUUUGAUCCCGUUUAACCCACAAAACUGCAUCCCCUUGCUAUUUAGCACCCAAUGACACCUUGAUCUACUCUUUUCGUUGAACAUUUUGAGCUAAUUUUGUGUUGCUAAGUUGGGGCAAUGGUGGUGGUUUGGAGGAGUUUGGAGGUGGUGGUGGUGCUCAUCCGGUGACUGUGAGGCUGCUCGAGGUUGGGGUUCACACGCUUCAAGGGUAAAUCCUAAUCUCUCACGUAUUUAUCCUAUAAUGUAUAUGUUUACGAAGAUAUGUGUGUAUGUAUAUAUAGAAGUAUGUUUUAGCGUUUGGUAGUGCUCAUUAUUUUGGACAACUGUUAAUGUCGUACUGCUUAGUAUUUGAUGCGUCUAAAUAUUAUGGCUGGUAGUAAUAUGUUUUGAUAGAAUAUAUUUUUUCUGAUGCCGUACUGCUUAGUAUUUAACGCAUAUUAAUAUUUUUAAUAUGCCGUACUGCUUAGUAUUUGAUGCGUAUUAAUAUUUUUAAUAUGCCGUACUGUUUAGUAUUUGACGCGUAUUAAUAUUUUUAAUAUGCCGUACUGCUUAGGAUUUGACGCGUCCUAAUAUUUUUUAUAUGCCGUACUGCUUAGUAUUUGACGCGUAUUAAUAUUUUUUAUAUGCCGUACUGCUUAGUAUUUGACGCGUCCUAAUAUUUUUUAUUUGCCGUACUGCUUAGUAUUUGACGCGUAUUAAUAUUUUUUAUAUGGCGUACUGCUUAGUAUUUGACGCGUCCUAAUAUUUUUUAUAUGCCGUACUGCUUAGUAUUUGACGCAUAUUAAUAUUUUUUAUAUGCCAUACUGCUUAGUAUUUGACGCGUCUAAACAUUUUUUUAGGCAUCAGAGAUGUCCGGUGCAGUGAAGUUUGUUUUUUACUACGGUUCCGGGACUGUCUUAACAACCGAGCACGGAGCUGAUCUGAGUCAGUUUAAGUAUGUGGAGUUGGAUCUAACGGCCCCUCAAACAUGGACGUUUAGUCAGUUGCAGGAAUGGUUGGUAGGAUGUUUAGCGCUCAAUCCUGAAACAUACACCGUCCGUGUGCAAGCAUUGUGGACCAAGUCAAGUUCAAAUAUUUUCCGGGUUUUGAGGCCGAUAGACCGGACAUCAAAGUGGGUGCGCUGGUUAGAAAGUUGCGAGAAAAGGAGAACUACACCUGUCGCCUUAAUCCAGGUUGUCGCUCAUGAGACCAAUCCAGCUUAAGGCGAGGGUGAAUCAAGUUAUGCCUUGUACAAUGCAAACUCUGUGUCGAAUGUUGGAGGUGGUGGUUAUGAAUCAGGCCAGAGCUCCGGAGCAGUAGGAGAGGAUGAGUACACUGGCGAGGCAGAUGUGGACGAAGAAGAUGGUCACUUGCAGAACCAGAUGGAGGAUGAAGAUACAGAUGGUCGUAGUUCUUAUGACGAUGAGUCUCAUGAGUCGGACGAAGAGGAGGUGCCGAUUCCUGCAUCAUGGAAUCAGCACUUCUCUUCAGCUAUGACCGUGAACGAUGGGCAUGACUCUGCAUGGCAAUAUCAUCAGAACAACAUUGCGAAGGGUGCUAGAUUUCCUGACAAGAAACAUCUGCAGGAUGCCAUAGUUGCUUGGGCAAUGUCCACGCAAAAGGUUUUCAAAACAACAAUCUCUUCACAAAAAUAUCUGACAAUGGAGUGCGAACAAAUAGAUUGUCCCGGGAGGGUGCAUGGCUAUGUUCCUACGUAUGACACAGAUUGGGUUGUGAGUGACUUGGUGUUGCACACAUGUGUCAUUCCCAGUAUCCCUCAGGAUCAUCGUAACCUCUCGUCGAUGCUUCUUGCUCGGUUGCUUUACACGGAGAUAGUGGAGAGCAAAGCAAUGGAAGUGAAGGCCAUCAUGCAUAAGGUCAGGGUAAGGUUUAAGUACAACAUUUCGUAUGGCAAGGCUUGGAGGGCUAAGCAGAGGGCUCUUGAGGAAAGAUUUGGUUCGUUUUUCGACUCGUACGACUCUGUUGUCCGCCUCCUCCAUACACUGCAAACCCGUAAUCCAGGCACCUAUGUCAACAUCCAACACUUCCUGCACCCAGAGUAUCCAACUGUGAGGGUGCUGCAACGACUGUUCUUCACUUUCGGUGUAUGCGUCCAAGCUUUCCAUCAUUGUCGACCGGUGAUAUGCGUAGAUGGCACUUUUCUCACUGGCAAAUACAGGGGGCAGAUAUUGACCGCCAUUGGUCAAAAUGGCAACAAUCAAAUCGUUCCGCUCGCAUUUGCUUUCGUGGAGAGUGAGAACACUGAAAGUUGGUUAUGGUUUUUCAGGCAGCUCAAGAGAGCAGUUGUGCAUGAUAAGCUGAAUGUGUGCAUCCUUCAUGACAGACAUGCAGUACUGGUAGGAGAAGAACCCGACUCGGUAUUCUUAAAAAAAGAGGGGAAGCAGAACCAAGUCAAGAUGAUAUGGGUCGCCCCUUCUUCUUGCGCCAAAGAAUAAUCCCCCUUUUGCUGGAUUAUUACCAAUAUAAUCAUAAAAGGCUAAUUUUUCGGGAAUUUUAGACCAAGCUUCUGAUAAACUAAGAUUUUCGGAUAAACCAUUGCUAACUCUUCGAUAUAUUUCUUGCUGAAAGUAUCCCUGAUCCCACUGAUAACGAGUAGGCCCAAAUAAUUCGAUUGGGGUGGUUGCUGACCCAUACCACAUAGUUCCAGCAACUACGAAAGCUGCAAAAAAAACAGCAGCAAUACUACUGGAAAGUACAGUUUCAAUAUUGCCCAUACGUAAUCCUUUGUAUAGACGUUGAGGGGGACGGACACUAAGAUGGAAUAGAAAGACUGAUUCAUUCGGAUCGGAUCGAUAUGAGGACCCAACUCCGUUGCAUUGCCAGAAUCCAUGUUCCAUAUUUGAAGCGGGUUGACCUCCGUGCUUCUCUCAUGGUACAAUCCUCUUCCUGCCGAGCCCCCUUUCUCCUCGGUCCACAGAGAAAAAAAUGUAGGACUGGUGCCGACAGUUCAUCACGGAAGAAAGAACUCACAAAGCCGGGAUCGGUAACUAAUAGAAUAGUACUACUAACUAAUACUAAUAUAUAGAAAUAGAUAUCUAGAAAUAGAAACGAACUAAUAUAUAGAUAAUCGAAAUUGAAAAGAACUGUCUUUUCUGUAUACUUUCCCCGUUCUAUUGCUACCGGGGGUCUUAUGCAAUCGAGCGGAUCAUAUAGAUAUCCCUUCAACACAACAUAGGUCAUCGAAAAGAUCUCGGACGACUCACCAAAGCACGAAAGCCAGUUAGAAAAUGGAUUCCUAUUUGAAGAGUGCCUAACCGCAUGGAUAAGCUCACAUUAACCCGUCAAUUUUGGAUCCAAUUCAGGAUUUUUCUUGGGAAGUUUCGAGAAGAAAUUGGAAUGGAAUAAAUAAAGAAUAAAGCAAAAAAAAAAUAAGUCGAAGAUAGAAGAGCCCAGAUUCCAAAUGAAGAAACGGAAACUCGAAAAGGAUCCUUCUGAUUCUCAAAGAAUGAGGGGCAAGGGGAUUGAUACCGAGAAAGAUUUCUUCUUAUUAUAAGACGUGAUUUGAUCCGCAUAUGUUUGGUAAAAGAACAAUCUUCUCCUUUAAUCAUAUCAUAAAUGGAAAGUGUUCAAUUAGAACAUGAAAACAUGACUCAAUUGGUCUUAGUUAGUCUUCGGGACGGAGUGGAAGAAGGGCGGAGACUCUCGAACGAGGAAAAGGAUCCCGAAUUGACCGAGGAGCCGUAUGCGGUGAAAAUCUCAUGUACGGUUCUGUAAAGGGACAGUAAGGGUGACUUAUCUGUCGACUUUUCCACUAUCAACCCCAAAAAACCCAACUCUGCCUUACGUAAAGUUGCCAGAGUACGAUUAACCUCUGGAUUUGAAAUCACUGCUUAUAUACCUGGUAUUGGCCAUAAUUUACAAGAACAUUCUGUAGUAUUAGUAAGAGGAGGAAGGGUUAAGGAUUUACCCGGUGUGAGAUAUCGCAUUAUUCGGGGAACCCUAGAUGCUGUCGCAGUAAAGAAUCGUCAACAAGGGCGUUCUAGUGCGUUGUAGAUUCUUAUCCAAGACUUGUAUCAUUUGAUGAUGCCAUGUGAAUCGCUAGAAACAUGUGAAGUGUAUGGCUAACCCAAUAACGAAAGUUUCGUAAGGGGACUGGAGCAGGCUACCAUGAGACAAAAGAUCCUCUUUCUAAAGAGAUUCGAUUCGGAACUCUUAUAUGUCCAAGGUCAAUAUGGAAAUUCUUUCAGAGGUUUUCCCUUACUUUGUCCGUGUCAACAAACAAUUCGAAAUACCUCGACUUUUUCAGAACAGGUCCGAGUCAAAUAGCAAUGAUUCGAAGCACUUCUUUUUCCAUUACACUAUUUCGGAAACCUAAGGACUCGAUCGUAUGGAUAUGGAAAAUACAGGAUUUCCGAUCCUAGCGGGAAAAGGAGGGAAACGGAUACUCAAUUUAAAGUGAGUAAACAGAAUUCCAUACUCGAUCUCAUAGAUCCCUAUAGAAUUCUGUGGAAAGCCGAAUUCGAUGAAAGUCGUAUGUACGGCUUGGAGGGAGAUCUUUCCUAUCUUUCGAGAUCCACCCUACAAUAUGGGGUCAAAAAGCCAAAAAAAUAAGUGAUUUUAGCCCUUAUAAAAAGAAAACGGAUUCUCGAACCUCUUUCACGCUCAUGUCACGUCGAGGUACUGCAGAAAAAAGAACUGCAAAAUCCGAUCCAAUUUUUCGUAAUCGAUUAGUUAACAUGGUGGUUAACCGUAUUAUGAAAGACGGAAAAAAAUCAUUGGCUUAUCAAAUUCUCUAUCGAGCCGUCAAAAAGAUUCAACAAAAGACAGAAACAAAUCCACUAUUGGUUUUACGUCAAGCAAUACGUAGAGUAACUCCCAAUAUAGGAGUAAAAACAAGACGUAAUAAAAAAGGAUCGACGCGGAAAGUUCCGAUUGAAAUAGGAUCUAAACAAGGAAGAGCACUUGCCAUUCGUUGGUUAUUAGAAGCAUCCCAAAAGCGUCCGGGUCGAAAUAUGGCUUUCAAAUUAAGUUCCGAAUUAGUAGAUGCUGCCAAAGGGAGUGGGGGUGCCAUACGCAAAAAGGAAGCGACUCAUAGAAUGGCAGAGGCAAAUAGAGCUCUUGCACAUUUUCGUUAAUCCAUGAACAGAAUCUAGGUAUGUAGACACAUGGAUCCAUACAUAUCGAUCGGAAAAGAAUCAAUAGAAGGAGAAUCGGACGAUAUCUUUCUCGAAACAAACAAAAAGGAAAAGAAAGAGAAAACAAAAAUCAUGAUCAACUAAGCCCUCUCGAGGGCUUGCUUAAGAAUAAGAAAGAAGAAUCUUAUGGAAAUGGAAUAAGGUUUGAUCCUAUUCAUGGGGAUUCCGUAAAUAUGCCAUUCCAAAAAUAGAAACAAUCGGGACUUUUCGGAGAUUGGAUGCAGUUACUAAUUCAUGAUCUGGCAUGUACAGAAUGAAAACUUCCCAUAUAAAGAAAGAAAACCAUAUAAACAAAGAAAAAAAGUAAAAGAAAGGAUGGGAGAUGUUUCCCAUGCCAAAUCAAAAAAGAAAGGUGAAAUGAAAGAUACCAUAACAAUGUGUAUCAG
rnacentral:lncRNA from 1 species